rnacentral:lncRNA from 1 species
AUGGAUGGUUAGUAGCUAAGAGUACCUUUGACUUUUCAACAUCCAUAAUGACACCACUUUUCUUAGCCAAUGAUCCAUCGAUCAACUUGGAGCUUGAGCUUAGUAGAGCCAUUUGUGUCAUUCUUUGUGCUCUUCUCAAACCAGUGCAUGUCCAAGUUCCAUUGUGUCUCGUAACCUCUCCAGUUGAUGCAAGUGCGUCUUUUUAACGUCAAUCUGGGUUUCCAAUAUAUCCACCACUACUGGAAAACGGAAUUUCCCUGUGUGUAUUCAAUUUUCCUGUGGGUUUUUUGAGCACACACAGGGAAAUCAAUUUCCCUGUCGGUGUGCAAACACCACACAGGGAAAUAACCAAACCCACAGGGAAAUUCGCUUUUCCUUGUCGGUAUUAAAAAACACACAGGGAAAUGGUUAAACCCACAGGGAAAAUACUCAUUUCCUUGUGCGUUAGGUAAAACACACAGAGGAAAUCGCAAAAACACACAGGAAAAUACUCAUCAGGUAACCUGUAGUAAAUAGUUAACCAGAGCCUUAUACUACGUAGUAGUAAACUUUAACUGCCACUAAAUUUUGUUUGAACUUGAUUUCACAAUUAUUUCUCCUUCACGUUGAUGCUUUCAUAAAUUGACAUUAGAGUUUUUGAAUCAUAAAAUUUUGACGUUGUAACGGGCCUUUUCAGCAUAUUUGUGUGUGGGCGCUUGAUAAUGUUGGAUUUGUGUGCAGCAUGCUCCAUUUGUCCGGUCCGGUUAGUCUCAGGUACAUGGUGAAAAUAUAUCUUUGUGAGUACUAGAGAUAUGAAAUGGGUAAAAAUUAAAAGAUCCGCGGAAUUUAUUACCAUUCCCCUCAACAGGUCCACCAACGCGGCAUGCUCAUGUUGUCGUGCGCAGCCGCUUUGUCGCCAAUGCCGACCGGGUUGCCAGAGGAGGAAGAGGGCAUUGUAAAGGCCUUUUCUUCUGUCGAUUUCGAUUGCUGAGAUACGCACGGGAACGGUGAUAUAUAGUGACUAUAGCUAUUUCUUAUCUGAUCUGUUUGUGGGCUGUGGCUUCCUGUUGGAAACAAGAAUGUUUCCACCCUUCGCAUUCCUCCCACCUUAACUAAUGUGAUCUUGGCUGGAAGAUGGGAAUCAUAAACUUUUAAAGUUCUAACGGCACCUUUUAGGGAUAUUUGUGUGUUGGACACUCGAUAAUAUUGGAUUUGUGUGCAACACACUCCAUUUGUCCACUCAGUCUCGGCACACGGUGAAAUUAAGUCUUUGUCCAGAACACCAGGGGCGGAUCCGGGACUUCAGGGAGGGGGCUCAUCCUCCUCUUCUAACUCCCUCCUCUCUUUCUCUUCUUCCUCCUCCUCCUAUUCACCCAUGGAUGAAAUUUUUAAGGGGUCUUUAGGGGCUUCAUGGGAUGCAUGGAGAUAGGAGAGCUCCAGCAGUCCAGACCCCAUAGUGGAUCCACUCCCGCACAACACACUAUAGUCACUCCCCUUCCACUUUCUCCCCCGUUCACAAGCUCCAUCACGUCUCCCUCUCACCUCCUGCCCCCACGAGCGCCUCCAGCCUAUCUCGAGUGCAGCUCCAAUGCCUUGGUGUGCCAGCGUCCAUGGUACGCCGGCUAGCUAGCUUCUGCUUAUUUGCAGCGCCUUGUGUGCUGCACCUGCACAUGAAGCCGAUAUAGCUGCAAGUGCUGCACACUUCUACCCAGCUGCAACUGCUGGGCUUGAUGUUGGCUGGCUGCAUCUGCUAUAUAUAGGUGCUGCUAGCUAGCUGCUGCCGCGGCAGCCCUAGCGGACGCUGCAACUAGCACUACUGAAUCCUUGUGUGCAACAACUCUAAGCCUCAGCUAGCAAGUCACACGAGCCUGAGCAAACGUGCGCGUGAGAGAGCCGAUUGAGCGUCACGGGACAUAGGUUCGCUUGGGUGGCCACACGGCACAAAUCUAAGUUAUGUGACCGUGUCAGCUAAUUAAUACAAACUUUUUGCUUGUUGUUCUCGCACGUGUUCAUAUAUACGCAGGGCUACAUCUGCCUCGUGAGCGGCCUCAAGUUCAACGAAGCGCUCGAUUACUGCUUCUCCAGGGGGAUGGAACAUGCCUACCCUUUGCCUUCAUCCCACCUUAACUAAUGUGGUCUGGGAGCCUAGGAUGGGAACAAUUUUUUUGAAGUUAUAAUAACGAUGGUCAAAUUUUGUGCGUGAGACACUUAAACAUUGGAUUUAUGCACAACACAUUUCACUCUUCCAUCCUUGUGUGCAACAACUCUAAGCCUCACCUAGCAAGUCACACGAGCUUGAGUAAACGCACGUGUGAGAGAGCAGAGUGAGUAUCACGGAGAUAUAGAUUCACUAGCCACAUGGCACAAAUCUAGGCCAGGUCCUCACACUGUUGGAUGAUUGACCUUUUGUACCAGUUGGGAAACCCCAUUUAGUGCCGGGUGCCCGACCGGUACCGGGCAGCUCAAUCGGCACUAAACUUAGUACCGGUUGGUUUUACAAACCGGUACUAAAAUUUUAUUCAUUUACUUGUUUUCCUUUUGUUUUAAUUUGCAUUCGUAUCCGUUUGCAUAUACUAAUAAUAUUACGUUAAUAUAUCAAACCAUUCAAAUUCAAGCCUCACAAGUUCGUACAUCAAUACUUAAGGUCUUAAAGACAAUAAGUUCAAAUCCAUAUGAAAAGGGUAUGAGUACAUCCAUGUACGCUACAUAUUUUAUACUUCACUUCGCUUCCUUAGAUAUGCGGCAUAGUUUAAGUCUCCAAUCUUAAAGAACUUCAUCAAUAUAAACUAGAGCAUGAAUUAGUGCACUCUCUAUCGCUUCACAUGGAUGGUCACAUCCACUACCAUAAAUCUCAAACAAUGGAGAGGUAAACUCAUAUGGCCUAUAGAAAGUGAGAUGAGCCUAGAGCUUGAAAUUUCUGAUGCGUACCGGGUUUCCAUCAGUGUAACUAUAAUUCAACACAUCCAAGACUUGAGCCAGAAUAGCAUGAAAGCUCAUUGCUGCAAUGGUUUGACCAAAGAGAUCCUAAAAGAUGAGAAUAGCAUGAUGAAAGUUAAAAGAUGUAACAUAACUAAAGAUAAAAAGAAUGAUUAGACAUGUUCCAUACCAUGUCAUGUUGAUUUAGUUGACAAAGCCUCUCAGUAGUCAUAAUCACGUUGCUUUCUCCCUCCUUGAACGCCUUUAUUCAAAAAUAUGAGAAGUCUGGCACAUAGUACCCAUUAUCCUUAAGCUGUUGUAGGCAGGCGUGGACUUUUCAAAAGUCUACCUAAUUGGUGCUUCCUUACUCCAUCAGCAAUUCAUAACAUUGAGAUGGCCUGUCCUGGUCGUAUCGAGUUGGCCUGUCCUCCUCGAAUCAGGUAGUUCAAAAGAGAUCUUAACUCAUAGCAAAUUACUUGUACCAAUACCUCGGAUUGCACUAAAGGAGUAGUACCGCCUAGAGCUUUGACAACAUCUUUGAGCCAUCUAAUAGGGUUGAUAAGCUACAUUGUAUGAGAGUAAAUUUAUGAAUUAUUCAUGUGCAGUACAGAAAACUAAUUACAAGAAGGAAAAAUAUUACUAUGUUGGGUUUUGCUCCUUGGCUUUGAUUGCCGGUAGGCAAGUCAAUGACGCCAUUAGGGAAUAUUUUUUAAGUUAUAAUAACGAUGGUCAAAUUUUGUGCGUGAGAUACUUUAAUGUUGGAUUUAUGCAUAGCACACUUCACUCAUCCAUCCUUGUGUGCAACAACUCUAAGACUCAACUAGCAAGUCACACGAGCCUAAGCGUGAGAGAGCUGAGUGAAUGUCGCGGGGACAUAGAUUCGCGUGGGUGGCCAUAUGGCACAUAUAUAAGCCGGGUUGUCAUGUCAUGGUGAGCUCUUUGUAGACCAUCCCCACCUAAUUUUCUUCCUUAAUUUGAAUUGGUCUUGGUGCUACUAGGAAAGCGCAUAAACCCGCCAUUGGAAAGGCUAUGUGAUCGUGUCAGCUAAUUAAUAGAAACUUUUGCUUGUUGUGUUCGCACGAGUUCAUAUAUACGCAAGGCUACAUCUGCCUCAUGAGUGGCCUCAAGUUCAACCUAAGAAGUGAAGUGCUCGAUUACUGCUUCUCCAGCGGGAUGGAACAUGCCUACCCUUUGCCUGAGGUCUUGGAGCCUGGGACGGGGAACAAUUUUUUUGAAGUUAUAAUAACAAUGGUCAAAUUUUGUGCGCGAGACACUCUAACAUUGGAUUUAUGCACAACACACUUCACUUGUCCAUCCUUGCAUGCAACAACUCUAAGCCAAAGCUAGCAAGUCACACGAGCUUGAGUGAACACGCGCGUGAGAGAGCCGAGUGAGCGUCACUGGGACGUAGAUUCGCUUGGGUGGCCACACAGUACAAAUCUAAGCUGGUCCUCGUUGUGAGCUCUUUGUGGACCGCCCCCAUCUAAUUUUCUUCCUUAAUUUGCAUUGGUCUUGGUCUGCUAGGAAAGUGCAUAAAACUGUCAUUAAAUAGGGCUAUCUUACCAUGUUAGCUAAUCAAUACAAACUUUUUAUUGUUGUGUUCGCACAUGUUCAUAUAUAUGCAGGGCUAUAUCUGCCUCAUAAGCGGCCUCAAGUUCAACCUAAGAAGCGAAGUGCUCGAUUACUGCUUCUGCAACAGGAUGGAACAUGCCUACCUUUUGCCUUUAUCCCACCUUAACUGAUGUGGUUUGGGAGCUUGGGAAGGGAACAAUUUUUUUUAAGUUUAAUAACGAUGGUUACAUUUUGUGCGUGAGACACUUUAACGUUGGAUUUAUGCAUAGCACACUUCAAUCGUCCAUCCUUGUGUGCAACAACUCUAAGCCUCGGAUAGCAAGUUACUUGAGCCUGAGUAAACGUGCAUGUGAGAGAGCCGAGGGAGCGUCACGGGGACGUAGAUUCGCUUGGGUGGCCACACGGCACAAAUCUAGGCUGGGUCCUCAUGGUGAUCUCUUUGUGGACCGACCCAAUCUAAUUUACUUCCUUAAUUUGCAUUGGUCUUGGUUCUGGUAGGAAAGUGCAUAAAGCCGCCAUUGGAGAGGCAGCUAAUUAAUACAAACUUUUCAUUGUUGUGUUCACACAUGUUCAUACAUACGCUGGGCUACACCUGCCUCAUGAGCGGCUUCAAGUUCAACCUAAGAAGCUAAGUGCUCGAUUGCUGCUUCUCCAACAGGAUGGAACGUGCCUACCCCUUGACUCAAUCCCACCUUAACUAAUGUGGUCUGGGAGCCUGGGACGGGGAACAAUGAUUUUAAAGUUAUAAUAAUGAUGGUUAAAUUUUGUGCGUGAGACACUUUAAUAUUGGAUUUAUGCACAGCACACUUCACUCGUUCAUCCUUGCGUGCAACAACUCUAAGCCUCAGCUAGCAAGUCACACGAGCCUAAGUAAAUGUGCGCGUGAAAGAGCUGAGCGAGUGUCGCGAGGACGUAGAUUCGCUUGGGUGGCCACACAGCACAAAUCUAGGCUAGAACCUCAUGGUGAGCUCUUUGUAGACCGUCCCUACCUAAUUUUCUUCAUUAAUUUGCAUUGGCCUUGGUUCUGCUAGGAAAGCACAUAAAACCGCCAUUGAACAGGGCUAUCUGACCGUGUUAGCUAAUUAAUACAAACUUUUGCUUGUUGUGUUCGCACAUGUUCAUGUAUACGCAAGGCUGCAUCUGCCUCGUGAGCGGCCUCAAGUUAAACCUAAUGAGCGAAGUGCUCGAUUACUACUUCUCCGGCGGGAUGGAACAUGCCUACCCUUUGCCUUCAUCCCACCUUAACUAAUGUGGUCUAGAAGCUUGGGAUGUGGAACAAAAUUUUUACAAUUACGAUAGUCAAAUUUUGUGCGUGGGACACUUGAUAAUGUUAGGUUUAUGUACAUGACGCUUCACUUAUCCAUUGACACACACCAUGAAAAUAUCUCUCUGUCCCCUCGACUUCCACUCUCUCCCCGUCCACAAGCUCCACUCCCUCUCUCGCCUCCUACCCCACAAGCACCUCCAGCCUAUGUCGUGUGCAGCUCCCCUAGUUGCCUUGGUGCGCCGGCGUACAUGGCAUCCUGGCUACGCCGAUGAUAGCGACUCUUAGCUAUUAUUUCUGCCUAGUGAUGGGCCUGCACCUACUUUGUUCCUCCAACUCAUCGUUGCCUCCCAUGCCACGGCACGAUGAUCAUUGCAGUGGCGCUCGCCACUUGUGCCAAGCCACCGAGGUGUGCAGUGCAGGCGCCAUGGCUAUAUGUCACAUAUGAGACAUAUAGCAAUCUAUCACAUACCAGCGGGACCCACCCGUUAUUGACAGGUUCCUCCUGCUUCCUCUUCCUCUGUCCCGAGCCCAUCCACUCUCCCCUUCCCCGCUGCUUCCUCCUCUCCCUUCGGUCACCUCCAGCGCUGCUAGGGUUAGGGGCUUCGAGCUUCGGGGUUGCCGGGGGAGGUCUAAUGGCCGCUGGUACUAGAAAAAUGGGUGGGGAUGGGAGGGGAGACCUGCGGUGGAGGUGGGUUGUGGGGCGGUGUGGCGCGGCGGCGGGGACGCCACCGGUCGGGUCCAACGGCUUGAUUGCCGGUGGGCCAAGGAUGGGCCGGGGCGAGGGUUAUGAUGGUGGAGGUGAGCUCCUAGUGGAGCCAGGUUAGGGUGGCGGAGGGUGGUGGCGGGAGCCGUCGGAGCCGGAGGAGGAAGGUGGCACGGGGGUGACGAGCUAGGUUAGGACGACGGAGGGUGUUGGCGGCGGAUGCGGCUGCGGGAGCCGCUGGAGCUGGAGGAGGAAGGUGGCGCAGGAGUGAUGCUAGUGGGCCGUCACUGAAGGCAACAACGGCAGAUUUGUUGCCUUCAGUGAAAUAUAGAACCACCCCGCGCAGGCUCGCGAACGUCAGGGCCGGGGCGGCACCCAAGGGUGGUGGAGUUGCUGUUGCUGCAGUACAUGGUGAUGGGCGCCUCAACGUGUUGGGUAGCUGGAGUUCUACGACCAGGCGCCAGUGAACAGCUUUCCCCUUUUUGUUUACGUCGUCAAGAAACCAAUUUACUUCCUUAAUUUGUAUAUUGUUCUAGUUCUUCUAGAAACCUGUCUAAAAUCACGAUUGAAUAUGGCUAUCUGACCGUGUCAACUGAUUAAUACAAACUUUUACAUGUUGUGUCCGCGUGUGUUCAUAUAUACGCAGGGCUAUAUCUGCCCCGUGAGCGACCUCAAGUUCAACCUGACGAGCGAAGUGCUCGAUUACUGCUUCUCCGGUGCUGCCUUCCUCAUUCCUUAAUUAACGUGGUCUGGGCUGGAAGCCUCGGACUGGGAACAAAAAAAAAAGUUGAAGUUAUAACGGCGGCGGUCAAAUUUUGUGUGUGGAGCACUUGAUAUGCUGGGUUUAUGCGCAACACGCUCCACUGGGUAGUCUCAGACAUACCGUGAAAAUAUCUCUAUGUCCACGACACAUUAUAGUCACUCGAAAGACCAUAUUAUCUUUCUGUCUCCACGACGGGGCUCCGCCUCCUCACACGGCUCCAAGGCGCCAACCUCUGCUCCGACGGUCCGGCCCUACACGUCGCUACUCCGUCACAGAUGGCCAAGCUCCGGCACUCGUUUCCUCCUCUCCUGCGCUACCACGGCACGAUGAUCGCUGGAGUGGCGCUCGCCACUUGCGCCAAGCCGCCACCGAGGUGCACAGCGCAGGCUCGCAACGUCAGGGCAGGGCCGCCCGGCCGGGACGGCACCCAAGGGCAUCGUGUUGCAGCUGCCGCAGUACAUCAUGUACACGGUGAUGGCUGCCUCAUCAAGCCUUCAACAUGUUGGCCUUGGGUAGCUGGAGUUCUACGCCCAGGCGCCUUGGAUGACGGGUGGACACAAGGGACAAAGAAAGAGAGAGGGAGGGCAUACAAAUCAUUUUAUUAGCUGAAGUGUCCUGGAGACAAAAAUCAUGUACUCGCGGUGUGUGCAUGAGGCUAACUCGACGAAUGGAAAUACUUAGUCUAGGAAUUUAUACAGUACAGUAAAAAAAAGUUACCCACAACUGCUACUGAAAAUGUGCUCCUACACCAGUAGGACUGGACUGGGCAGCUCGCAUAAGCAGUAGUACUUGCGGACAUACAUCGAACAAAGACAAGAAACGAUUUAAAAUCAGUACUUUAUUUAACAUUUUCACAACGGGAGGAAUUGAAGGUUUCACUGGACUUGAUGCUCUAUUGGUAGGCUAUAGAGCUUCCAUUCACCAGCCAUGGCACCUCAGUUAGCCCGGCCGACCGCCGUCCCCCUUGCGCAGCUGCUGCAAUCCACGUCCUAUUUCCGCGUCCAACUUUGCUACUUCCUUCUCCAGUUCCUGUUCAAAAAAAAUUGUAAUUAAACAACUAAGCUACUAGGUCUCGAAAGAAAAUUAGCAAUGCAUAAGAAACACACUGACACUGAGUCACUGAUGACAGUUCGCUAAGAGUACCUUUGAUUUAUCAACUUUCAUAAGGACACCACUUUUCUCGGCCAAUGAUCCAUCUAUUAACUUGGAGCCUGAGCUUAGUAGAACCAUUUGUGUCAUUCUUGUGCUCUUCUCAAGCAGUGCAUGUCCAAGUUUCAUUGUGUCUUGUGACCUCUCCAGUUGAUGCAAGUGCGCUUUCUUAACGUCAAUCUGGGUUUCCAAUAUAUCCACAACCUUCAUGGACACAGGGAAAAUAAGAUGCAUCACUAAAUUUUAUCUGAACUUGAUUUCACAGUUAUUCCUUGAUGAUGAUGCUUUCAUCAAUCGACAUUAGAGUUUAGAACUCCACCGUCUCAGUUUCAAUAGAAAUCCACUGAAAUACGAGUACGUCAUUUUCCUGAGGAGCUAAACCAAUAUAUGAUGCAUUAUUUACACACUAGAAAGGAGAGUUAACAGAUUUCUAACAAAGUUCCGAUCACAAUUCGCAAGCUUACAUCCUUUUGGGAACCUUCCAUGUCAGUUAUGAGCUUCUCGUUCAACUUCGUCGGAAAGUCCAUUUCUUGAGGCAUCUUGGGAUCUUAAUCUGCACGCAGAAAGAAAAAAAAAAGAGUCGCAAGCCGUUAAGUGUUCAGAAUAGUGGUUCUCCUCCUGGGCAACUCAGCAUCUUUUGCACGCAGAAAACAAAAAUCCAAAGCCAUUAAACUACAGUAUGUCAGAGAGGAUUAAUUUAAAAAACAUGCAAAUAAAUCAGAGUACGAGUUCAGAGUAGUUCUUUGUGGAUUUAUCAUGAUUGCAAGGUACAAAUGAAGAUCAUAUAUCGGAGCAUUAGAUUACUGACACAGAACACCAGAUUGAGCAGAUAGUAGGCUACUCCUGCAGACCGAGAGUGACUGGUACAAAUUAAACUAGCAAGGUGAUGAAACCUCGAUCUCUUACCACCACCGCCACCACCGGCACCAGGUUGGUUGACGCUACCGCGCACGCUCUGGUCACCGAGCACACCGACCUCGCCGUCGCCGUCUCCGCCGGCAAGGCCCGCCGCUGCAGCGGAGGAGGAAGAGGCCAUCAGGAGAUGGUGCUUGGUAAGGUGCGGUGGAAUGGGAGCAGUGGUGCUGGCUUUAUAGGCCACUUCGUCUCUGUCCUCUGUUCUCUGGCCUCCCAACCCUCCAGCUUCCGCAUUUCUUUAUCGGUUAAUGCGGUUCAGUUUUUCUCUGGCAGCCAGAAACCUUGGAAACUGUCCGUGUUUGCCAUUUUCUUUUUGAGAUCACAAUCGAUUAGCAAAGAAGUCCGGAAGUCUAACGCUAACGCCGAUGCAUGCUUGCGAGCUGUCGAGUUCUCUGUACUAAACUUUAAGCACUCUGCAGAAGCCAGAUAGUUCAGUCAAAUGCUACAUUCUAUCUAAGGCUUAAUGGCAACUUUUUUGUAACUUCUUUUUUAAUUCAGGAAUAUGCUCGACAAUCUGUCCAUGUAGGCUAUCAUUAUCAAACACCUACACGAAUAGGAUUGUAGCGUUCACUCAUCCUACUUCCAUUCAUCCAGCAUGUACGAUGUGCACCUACACGAAAGCAACCAAACACACCCUUCGUUCAUCUUCAGAGCCAGAAGAGUAUAGGUAGCGGUCUUCCGGGGUCAGUCAACCAAAUGCUAGGCGUCAGGAUAGCCUUACCAGAGUUUACUCCUGCAAAAACAAUCACGUCAACAAAUUCACGUGCUACCUCCACCACCAUACGAACAAAGCAAGCGCUAUCUUAAUGAUGUGAUAUGAGAUUCGAACAGCAACAGUCAAAAAGUCUGUUGCUCGGUACUCUGCUUAGUAUCAAGAGGUGUUUGGGAUACAAGUUGCUAAACUUUAGCAGAAUCAUAUCGGAUAUUCGGAUGCUAAUUAGGAAGAGUAAAUAUGAUCUAAUUACAAAACUAAUUGCACAGAUGGAGUCUAAUUCGUGAGACGAAUCUAUUAAGCCUAAUUAGUCCAUGAUUUGACAAUGUGGUGCCACAGUAAAUGAUGGAUUAAUUAGCUUUAAUAGAUCUCGCGAAUUAGACUCCAUCUGUGCAAUUAAUUUUAUAAUUAGACUAUGUUUAAUACUACUAAUUAGUAUCAAACAUCCAAUGUGACAGGUGCUAAAGUUUAACGGGAGUAUCCAAACCACCCCUUAGAUCAUAUGCCAGUGCUACCAAUAGAAACGUGUCAUUAAUUCAAUCAGUCAGUGGCAAAUUAAUACACAGUAAGCAUCAUCAAACCGAGCAUACAGAUGCUAGAAAUAGGUAAGCAUGAUUAGCCGGUUACACAUGAACGAUCAGAUGAUCGCACACAAGAGAAAGCCAAGCAGGCUACUACAUAUGCACACCUGCACAGCAUGAGGCAGAGUCUUGCUUCGCUAUCUCCAUGACACCAACAAAGUUGUGAUCUUCGAUUGCGUCCGAGAUAUACCGAUAUUUAGACAAGUCGGGUCUGCUAUUCCAAUAGAAGCCUUUCAUGAGGAAACUUUCCCGCCGGUUUUGGUGUCGCUCCUAUGUUGUUUAUUUUUCUUGAAACUUGACUUUGACUUGCGACCGGUAACCAUGAGAUCACAAAUUCUCAUGUCUACCUCUGUAUCAUCAAAGCCAAUAUCCGAGACAUCUUGGACCUGCUGUGUCGUAGCCAUCAGCUGUUUAGCUGAAGCCUUCUCGGACUCUGCCUCUUCAAUUUUCUUCUGAGUGCGUUCCAGGUAGGCAGCAUAGGCUUGCAGCAAACAGAAGAUCAGUAAAUUGGUUGAAAAGGCCAUCAUAUGUAUACAAAUUAUAUAUAUACCCAAAAAAAAAGCCUUACCAGCAAUCUCCUUCUUGAGAGCUGCCUUGGUCUCAACAAGUUUACGGUCCAUAGCCAUCAGCUGGUCAACGGCAGUCUCCGAUUUGGUCACUUGAGUUUGGAGAUGGCCGAUCUCCUCGAAGUUAGAUGCAGCUUGGCAAAGGAUUGCCUGCAAAACACGUGUAAGAAAAAGAAAAAGAUCAACAACUUGACUACAGGUCAUACCUCUGCUUGCUUGAGGCACGGAACAGACUCCAGAAUAAUGUCCCCGGAGUUUUUGGUCCCAAUAUCAGUGCAUCCAUUGAGCCCGUCAUUCAAGCCCUGAGAAGUUGACUGAACUGUUGGAAUGUGGAAAGUUUAAAGAAGAGAUGGGCUCAGUGACAAUGUUGAAAUCUAUUCAGAUGAACAUGGAGUUACGAGAUACGCAGAGAAAAUCCAUAGGCAGAAUUGCAGAUGAAAUGGAGUUACAAGAUACACAGAUGAACAUGGAGUCACAAGUUUACUCGGCCAAGUUUUUUUUUGAAUUUUCUAAAAAAUGUAUCACAUACUCCAGAUGAAUAAAUAUGGACACUUCAAUGGACAGUUGGCUUACUUUUGACUAAUCUUCAGUUUUUCUAUUGACACCAAUUUUCUCAGCCAAUGAUGCAUACACCAAGUUGGAGCUUGAGUCUAAUUGUUUGAAAGUGGGAAAGAAAACGAACUUUGUCAUAAUGCCUUUGGUGCACAGCCCAAAAAAAAACAAAGCUGAACAAUGAAUAUUAGGGCUGGCUAUGCUUAAAACCAACCUGCUUGCAUAAACAAGUGCACAUCAGACCAAAAUAAUUUGGCAAUACUUGAAAAGGGUUAAACCCUAUUACUCAGGUAACCUAUAAUAGCUAUAUUAAAAAUUUCAGCAUCAAUACUUUUAAGGAUUUUUUGUAACUAUAUUUUGAAGGUUUGAUGGAACUGGAUCAAUUGAAAAUAUGUGAUGCAUGGCAUAAAUAUAACUGAUGAUUCUAUUUUGGUGAAUUUUGAGAAACUUCCCAUCACCAUACAUACAAAAAGGGGCAUGUAAAAAGAUUGUAUACCUUCCACAGACGACUUGACCUCCUCAGGCUGUGGAAUUGGAAAGAAUGUUCUGUACAGCUCCUCAAGUUGCAGCAAGUCCUUUCUCUUAGUGUCAAUCUCAUUUUCCAGAAUCUUCAUAAUCUUCAUAAUCUUGAUUGAUAACAAGAAAAGUUACAGCAAAUUAGACAUUUCUACUCUACCUCCAGAACUUAGUAAGCAUUCACAAACUUCUAAUGAACCAUGAUUUCAUUUUGAUUAGCCCAGGUUUACAUUGAACUAACCCUUCAUCCAUGGUACAAGUGUAAUAAACAUAGGAGGUCUCAGGUCUAGUGUUGUGAUUCUCUUCUUCUUAAGCGAAUGGCCGAGCUCCUGCGCUUCCUUUAAAAGAAAUUACUAAAUGAAAUCUUACAUGCUUAUAGAGGCCUUGCAGCUCCUUAUUCCACUUCCUCAUGCUAUCGUUGAUCUUGGCCUGCAACUCCUCAUUCCCCUUCGUCAGGCCAUCAUCCUUGGCCUGCAGCUCCUCAAUCCGCUUCGUUAGGCUGUCAUUCCUGGCCUGCAGCUCCUUGUUCCCCUUCGUUAGGCUUCCAUUCUUGGCUUGCAGCUUCUCACUCCGCUUCCUUUGGCCGUCAUUCUCUGCAUGCACCUCCUCAAUCCGCACCAUGAGGCCGACAUUCUUGGCUUGUAGCAUCUCAGUCUGCUUCCUGAGGCCAUCAUUCUUGGCUUGCAGCUCCUUAUUCUGCUUCAUCAGGUCAUCAAUCUUGGCUUGCAGCCCUGCACUCCACUUCAUUAGGCCGGCAUUUUUGGCAUGCAGCCUCCUGUUCUGCUUCAUCAUGACAUCACUAAUGGUUUGCAGCUCCGCUAGGCUGACAUUCUUGGCUUGCAGCUGCUCAUUAUGAAUCACUAGCCCAUCAUGCUUGGAUUGCAGCUCCUCAUUCUGUUGCAUCAGGCCGUCAUUGUUUGCUUUCAACUCAUUCUGGAUAGUUAGGCCGCCAUUUUUGGCUUUUGGCUCCCCAUUCACCAUCUUCAUGCCGUCAUUACUGGUUUGCAGUACCUCAUUCUGCUUCACCAGGCCACCAUUAUUUGCUUGCAACUCCUCAUUCUGCUUCACCAGGCCAUCAUUCUUGUCGUACAACUCCUCAUUCAGCUUUCUCAUUCCAUCAUACUUGGCCUGCAUCUCCUCAUUCUGCUUCCUCAAGCACUGUAUCUCUUUCACUUUCACAGCCAGCUCAACUCUCAGCUUCUGAUUCGCCUCACAGUAUCCAAGCUCUUUCACAUCCUCAUCUAGUUGAGCCCUCAGGUCUUUGAUCUCCUUUAAAAUUCUCUGAGAAUCCUCACACACCACCGUCAAAUGUUCUGCCCAUGGGUGACAAAUAUUAAAGCCAGCAUGAAGAAGAGCGUGAAUGAUUGAAGUGGCUUUUCAGUAACACGUACCUCCAUUCCCAACCAGACUGCCCAAAUCUCCGGACAGAACCGCGGCUUUCCUCUUUCUGCUUCCAGAUUCUGCCCCAAGAUCCUGACCUGCUGCAGCUGCAAAAACAAAGAAAUGAUUUCCCUUGAGUAAGUGUAAGCUAGAUACCCCAUUUCAGGUGCAGCAAGGCGAGUAAUGUAGUACGAGUCUGUUCCUGAGAAUAUUACACAUCACUGCUGACCACAAACAAAGACAGUAAAAGGAAUGAGAGAAUGAGAUGGCUGAACACAAACUGAUUUGUUUCAACAAUAAGAAGUGUCAACAAAACUGAUGAUCCAAGCAACCGAUUAGAGUCAGUCGACAUAUCGUGUCAGCAUUCAGAUACUCUGCAUGCUUGAUUUUGACCAAUACUCACAGUUGAUUUCACUUGACAUUUGCCUUAAUUCAAGCGCGAUUGCUCCCCGGUAGCCGUAUCACGCCACUAUACUCCUCUAUUUCCACAAGUUCCACCAUUCAGACUAUUACUCCUGAAGGCCAAAAGGUCUCGAAUCGAAAGAGUAUGCGACCCUCACCCAAGGUCGCAGGAAAUGAAAUGAAGGGAAUGAGCAAUCCGGUAUUCGAAAUGCAUGACAGAUCAGACUAGGUAUCCACGCCGCUCGACCGCAAAGAACAACAGGGAAGUGUAGCUAAACUGAAAUGCAGGGAAGUAGUACAAGCAGAUCAAGGGCUCCAGGCACCCUCGCAAACAAAAAUAAAAAAUAGAAAAAGAAAUGUGAUCAGGUGGGAGAAAGAGAAAUCGUGGCUUCUCUUACCACCAGCAGCACUUGGAUCGACUCCACGGGGGAUGGGCCGCCCGCCGCCCUCUCCCGCCCCGUCGUCUCCGCCGGCGGGGGCCAUGGCUACGGCGGAGGAAAGAGUGGUGUUUUUCUUUGUUGCCUCGCUUGCUAACGGCAGGCCACGGGGGUGCGACGUGUCACUUGUGAGCUCUCUGCCUCUCUGCGCCUGUCUCUCGAGUAUCCACCUCCCACUCUCCCCAAUAAAAAAUAUUUUUUAUGCUCUCUUUCCAAAAUAUUGUUUAUGCUUUGAUUGCCUACUUAACGCAAAGUACUCCUCUAUCUACAAAUGAGACACCGAAGAGAGAGAGAGAGAGAGAGAGAGAGUGCAUGGCAUUAACUGCACAUUUUACCUGAAAACGAUUGAGGGUGCCAUGAACAGACAUGUCUACAUACAUACAUCAUUAUCAUUGUGUCAAACUCUAAAAUAACUUACCGAAUGCAUUUGCAGUCGUGGGGAAUAUUUCUAGAACAAUUUAAAUUGCAUUUAAAAACUCAUAUAAGAAAAGAAGACAUUGCAUAUACAAUGGAAUGGAAUACCAUGUUUGAAUGCAAAACUGAAUCCCUGCAAUGGAACUGGGGUUUUUUUUUCAAAGAAAAAACAAAAAAAUUGCUCAUCUCACAACAGUAGGCGUCAGUGUAGCCUUAUCAGAGUUUGCUCCUGCUAAAACCAUCACCAUAUGUCCAUAACCCCUCAUGCACGCUCUGAAAUGAGAUACCUCAACCACGCAAGAACACAACGGCUUAGUAAUCAGAUGCAAUGCAAGUGCCACCAAUAGAAACUUGUUCUCCAAUGCAGACAGUCAGUGGGAAAUGCCACUGCAUUGAUUUUACAAAGAAAAAAAUGAAUACUCCAAAAUGAUCAGAUGAACAUGUAUCAUCGGACCAACACCAGGUAGCUAAAUUACGGUACAAAUGCUGUAAAUAGGCAGCAUGAUAAGCCGAUUACGCAUGAAUGCUCAGACGAUCGCACACAAUUGAAAGCCAAGCAAGGCCACAGCACUUGCACCACACCUGCACAAUAAUACAAUAUACAGACACCUAGGAACACAAAGGCAACGGGUUGGUGUCAUUCAGUUCACCGAUCACAUCAGUUUUCAGGACAGAAAGCGGCAACAACACCACCACAUGCACACAUCACAUACGCUUGUAAUGUCUCUAGGCAAAGGGAGAACACAGAGGAUACAUCUCCUACCUCAGGAGUCAGGAGGGGGGAUCCAGCAGCACAGCUGCACGCGGCUCCCACAAAAGCACCAAUGGCGCGCAUGCACUACUACUUAGUGGCUUGGUGGGCUUGAGGACCCUGUGUUGUUUCACGUUUCAUCUGCCCAAACAGGUGCUUGAGGACCUCCUCCAUCGUCGCCCUCCAGCCUUCCCCAAAGUUCCAGAGCUCGGGCACCACAUAACGCCCGCUGGGGUUGUACUCGUUCAUCUCCAUCAGCGCGGCCUUCACUGCAUUGCACACAUCCUCGCCAUACUCGAUCAGCAGGAACUUCAGUUUUGGAUCAUCGUCAUCUAGAAAUUCCUGCAACAAAGUAGGAUGACUAUGAUUCCCAAACAAAUACUAGCCUCUACAAAUGCCAAAGAUAACACCAAACUUGGAUAGAAAAAUACAGUAAAUACCUUGUGUUCUCCAUUAACCUGAACAAUCAUAAAAGGAUGCCAGAAUGGGUUCUUCAAUUCCUCCUGCCAAGUUGAGACCAACUCUGCUGCUCUCAUCUGGUAAUCGUCGUCUCCAUAUUUUCUCUUACAUGCAUCUUGAAAUGGCUUCUCGUUAAGUUCUCCCAUUCUUUUGAUCCCAAUAGCUCUCUGCCCAUUUAACUCGUCUAAACCCUGAGGAUCACGAUAAUCAUUUCAUCAAUGAAAAACAGCUUAUGAACAUCUGCUGAUGGAGAACACGUUAGAUGCAUGGUAACUGUUAAAACAUUCACAAAAAUAAAACGAGCAGUACCACAAUCAACUCUUCAAACUUUCACGCUCUUUCCUCACAAGACAUCCGGUCAAAUCUUCCAGCCCGUCAUUAUUAGAUUCCAGCUCCUCAAUCCCAUUCAUCAGGCUACAAAUCGUGGCUUGCAGGUCCUCAUUCCUCUUCAUUAGUCCAUCAUUCUUGGCUUGAACUUCCUCACUCUGCUUUGUUAGGCCAACAUUCUUGGCUUGCAGCUCUCCAUUCCGCUUCCUCAUGCUGUCUAUAUUGGUGUGCAGCUCCUCAUUCUCCCUCGCCAGAUCGUCAUUCUUGGUUUGGAGGUCCUUAUUCUGCUUAGCCAGGCAAUCAUUCUUGGCCUGCAGCUCCUUAUUCUGCUUCACCAGGCCGACAUUCUUUGCUUGCAGCUCCUCAUUCCCCUUUGUUAGGCUUACAUUCUCGACCUGCAGCGCCCCAUUCCGCUUCCUCAUGAUGUCUAUUGGUUCGCAGCUCAUCAUUCUCCUUCACCAGAUCAUCAUUCUUGGCUUGCAGUUCCUUGUUCUGCUUCGCCAGGUCAUCAUUCUUGACAUGCAGCUCCUCAUUCUGCUUCCUCAUUCCAUCAUUCUUGCCUUGCACCUCCUCAUUCUGCUUCCUCAGGCACUGCAUCUCUUUCGCCUUCAGAACCAGCUUAACUCUCAGCUUCUCAUUCUCCUCAACCAGAUCAUCAUUCUUGGCUUGCAGGUCCUUGUUCUGCUUCGCCAGGCCAUCGUUCUUGGCCUGCAGCUCCUUAUUCUGCUUCACCAGGCCGGCAUUCUUUGAGUUCAGCUCCUCAUUCCACUUUGAUAGGCCGACAUUCUUGGUUUGCAACUCCCCAUUCUGCUUCCUCAUGCUGUCUUUAUUGGUUCGCAGCUCCUCAUUCUCCUUCACCAGAUCAUCAUUCUUGGCUUGCAGUUCCUUAUUUUGCUUCGCCAGGCCAUCAUUCUUGGCUUGCAGCUUCUCAUUCUGCUUCCUCAUUCCAUCAUUAUUGCCUUGCACCUCCUCAUUCUGCUUCUUCAGGCACUGCAUCUGUUCCGCCUUCUGAACCAGCUCAACUCUCAGCUUCUCAUUCGCCUCACAGUACCCAAGCUCUUUCACAUCCUUAUCUAUUUGAGCCUUCAGGUCUUCAAUCUCCAUUAAAAGCUUCUGAGAAUCCUCGUACGCCACCUCCAAAUGUUCUGCCCAUGGGCAACAAAUAUUAAAGCCAUGGCAUGAAGGGUGAAAGAUCGAAGUGGGUUUUCAGUAACACGUACCUCCAUUCCCAACCAGAUUGCUCGAAUCUUCAGACAUAACUGCAGCUUUCCUCUUUCUGCUUGCCCCAAGAUCCUGGCCUGCUGCAGCUACAAAAACAAAGAAAACAUUUGCUUUCAAGAAGUGCAAGCUAGAUAACCCACCACAGGUACAACUAGGCGUAUAAUAUAUCACAAAGUCUGUUCCUAAGCCUUACAUAUCACCGCUGAACACAACCAAACACAGUAAAUGGAACGAGAGAAUGAGAUGACCGAACAGAUACUGAUUCUUUUUCAAUAAAACUAAACAUAAAGAUGUGUCAACAAAACUGAUGAUCCAGGCAACCAAUUAGAGUUGACAUAUCGUGUGACAGCCUUCAGAAACUCUGCACGCUUGAUUUUGACUAAUUGUCGCAGUUGAUUUAACUUGGCAUUUGCUUUAAUUCAAAUGCGAUUGUUCCUUGUAGGCAGCAUCACGUCAAUAUACUCCUCUAUUCCUACAAGUUCCACCGCUCAGAUAGUCAGAUUAUUACUCCUGAAGGCCAAAAGGCUUGUGCCUCCAAUCGAAAGAGUAUGGUAUUCGAAAUGCAUAACAGAUCAGACUAGGUAUCCAAAUACACCGCUCGAUCGCAAAGAACAGUAGAGAAGUACUGUAGUAGAUAAACUAAACUGCAGGGAAGUAGUACUAGUAGCAGAUCAAACGCUCAAGGUGCCCUCCCGCAAACAAAAAGAAAAAAAAAUGUGAUUAGGUAAAAGAAAGGGGAACCACCAGCAGAAGCAGAACUUCGAUCAACACCACGGCGCAUGGGCGGCCCGCCGGACUCUCCAGUCUCGUCCCCUCCGCCGUCGGUGGCCAUGGCUACGGCUGCGGAGGAAGAGGGCACUGAUGAAGAGAUGGGGUUUUCUUUUUGCUUUCCUGCCUCGCUUGUUAACGGCACUACCGCACUAGUAGGUAUACAAACUACGCCACUCGACCGCAAAGAACAUCAUAGAAGUAGUAGACAAACUAAACUGCAGGGAAAUUGUAGUUGCAUAUCAAGGGCUUAAGGCACCCUUGCAAUUUGCAAACAAAAGUAGAAAAGAAAAGGGAAAUCGUUUCUUCUCUUACCACCACCAGGAGGAAUUCGAUCGACACCACGGCACACGGGCGACCCGCGGGACUCUCCCAUCUCGUCACCUCCCCGGCGGGGGCCAUGGCUACGGCGGCGGAGGAAGAGGGCACCGAUGAGAAGAGGGGGUUUUCUUCCUUUCUGCCACGCUUGCUAACGGCACUACGGCAGGGGAACGGCCCAAGGUGGGGUUCUGUGAGCUCUCUCGACCUUCCAAGAGACCCACAAGGCUGGUUUGGUUGGAGGCAAUUGAUGGGGGUAGAGAGAGUUUAGAUGCAAAAAAUUAAAAGUAUAUUGUUUGUUGUCUGUUUGGUGGGUUUAGGAAUUUUAAUUGAAAGAGUAAUGGGAGUUUAGAAAAGUAACUCUCACCGAUCACUUUAUAUGAAAGGGGUGGAAAUUUAUUUUAAGUGGAAGAUAGAUGAAUCUACACUGUUAAUCAUUACUUGAUAUAAUUUUCCACCUCUAAAGUCUAAAGCCCACACAAAACAAGAGAUAUGAAAAUCUCACUUAAAUUUCUACUCUUAAUUCCAUCCAAAAGACAAACAUGCAAUGGGACUUGUUGGGAUCUGGAUUUGAAUUGUAAACGUCACCCUCACAUGCCGCUUUAAAGAAUUGGAUCAUCACAAUGAUAAUCGAAAUAAUCUUCACCUUCGCUCAAAGGUAACACCCUCGUUUCCUUUUCUUACCUUCAUCACCUCGGCUGCGAGGGUGCGGGGAAAUUGUUUUGAUCGUGUCUGCAGGUACUCGCGCUGGAGGGCGUGAAGCGAAGGUAUUCGGCAAACUUAGAAGAGCGAGGCGAAGGUUGUGAGCACAUUCGAUGUCCAAAAUCCAAGGCCUAAGAUCAUUUGGGCGAAGGUGUGAAGGAUUAAGGUCACGUUGUGAACGUGACCCCGGUGAUAUGAAUAGCAUGACUCGGUUAGGGUGUACAAAUCGGAUUAGAACUCUUUCUUGUACAACAUAUUUUUGGAAUGUAAUGGUUAAGUGAGGGUAAAUUCGGUAUGUAAAAGUCGGUUGGCCUCCCUAUAAAAGGGGAGGCACCCCCACUGUACAAGGGUUCACAUUUUUUAGAAAUACAAGCCUUAAGAGUUUUGUUUUCCAUUUGUGUGUGCUUUCUUUAAGUUUUCGUUGAAGAGCUCACUCUAAACCAACAUUUUGGCGCCCAUUGUCGGUGUUUUACACUCGGCAACCUACCGAGGGUAUCCUUAGAUAGUAGAUUGGUUGGUGGGGGAUCGUCGGAUCUGGAACUUGAUGGUAAAAUCAAGGAGAUUUAUACAGGUACGGACCGCCAGAGUAGCGUAAUACCCUACAUCCUAUUUGGGGUGUUGUAUAUUGCGGCCCUACGCUUGGGUGUUGCUUGGUGUUGAGGAUUUGAUCCUCUGUUGUGGUUUUGCCGAUCUAGGUACCCCUACCCUCCUUUAUAUACUCCAAGGGGGGUGGGAUUACUAGUCGGUUACAAGGCAGAAGUCCUAUUAGAAUUAUAGGGUACGAGUCCUAAUAGAAUUACAGGGGAAUCCUAGGAGUCCGUCUUCUUCCUUCCUUGCAGAUACUAGGGAUUUAUCCCCGACAAGCCACCAAGCGCUUCAUAGUCGAAUGCAGUAGUCUUCAAAUACUUUGUAGAUCCUCACCAAGUAGUAUUAGUUCUCCUCGAGUAAUUUGUCUAGCUGAAUCUUCAAAGUUAUUUGAAGCUACCAUGAAAUUAUGGUGUGCUCAAGUCCUUGAUCGUCUUGAUUUCGUAAUCUUCAUCUUUGGAAUGUGAUAUGGAGGGCGGCGGAAGUUGCACUCCAUAUGGAGUAACCCCUGAGCCUUAGGUUGAAUCGAAGAAUCAGGCUAAGGGUCAAUAAAAUCUUGAAUCUUCUUCUUUUAUCUUGAAAAAAUCAACUACUGGGUGUAGCUUAUUAGCCCCCGAGCCUUGGAAUGAUUAAAUAAUCAAUCUGAGGGUUUUCAAUCUUCACAAAAUUAUCAUCUGAGUAGUUUCGCGGCAUUCAAACCCCAAGCUUUGGAGCUGGGUGAACCGUAGGAGCCACAUCGAGUAGUUAUUUGGCGCUUAGCCCCCGAGCUUGGAAGCUAGCUGAGCCAUUGGAGAUAUUACUGAGUACUAAUUGGUGCUUAGCCCCUCGAGUUUAGGAACUAGCUAAGCCAAUGGAGGUAUGCUGAGCGUCCUGGAGAGUCAUCGCCCAAGCUUGACCUAAAAAAUGAUGCAUAUAUUAUGUAGCGUAUUGUAAAUUUUGGAACUACUGAAAAUUAUUUAGUGAUGAAUAUAAUGUAAAUGUUGUGUACCAUGCUCUUGUUUCGGUCAUAUUUUUUUCGAGUAGUUAGCCUAUUACAUUUAGGCUCUCAGUCCCUGUUUAGCCAUUGCCACUGCGUGUGAGAUCUUUGUCUCGUGUACGCGUACUAGCACUGCUGCUACGGAGAUCUUUGUCGCCUAGCGUUUAGGCAUGACAGAAGAUCCGAGACUUUCACGGAUUAAGGUGUUUUCUACUCGAAGAGAUUAGCGACCGCUAAGAAGAGACAUUGAAAAUAAGUAGUUGGCAUUAUGAUAAUAAAAAGAGUGCACUUAAAGUAGUCGUUAAGACUUUUUCUGCCUUUUGGCGAGUAUAGCGCGUGUUGCCAUGCACAAUAUUUGUGCCUCCUUAGGGUGUAACCAAUGUGAGCCUCCAGCGCUCAGUCCAUCAAACUCGUGGCCAUAGCCUCCGAAAUUAAAUGUACCAAACCUAUGGUGGUGCCUCCAGAACUCAGUGCACCAAACCCGUGGCUAUAGCCUCUAUAAUUUUGUGUACCAAGCACAUGGCUGUCGGUCAACAUCCCCCAAGAGUAGUUGGCGAAGUGUAGCUCUAGAGGGUAAUUCUUGUCGAGAGAUGUACACAGAUAGGUAGCCAGCGUAUUGGCCAACCACGCUGAAAACAAGUCAGAGAAAAAAUAAUUAUUAAAAAAGUGAUUUAGCUUGAUUCAUGGGCGAUUGCCGAUGAAGCCAUGGCGGUCGUAGAUGAAGCCACGACAAUUUGUUGAUGAAGCCAACUAGUCGAAGUUGAUUCCAACUAGUUGUCGAUGGUGUGCGACCUGCCCUGACUAGUUUUUUAGUCGAGACGAGUAGUCGAAGUAGUCGUUGGCAAGUCGCGGGUCAAUUUUGUCGAAUGUAUCUAUGCGUGCUGAAACCGCAUACUGCUUUGCCAGAGAUUUGUUGGAGGUUACUAACCUUUAUUGGAGAAUCACCGUGUAGGGAACAGGUGCGGCUCUUUGUUGAUCUCGAUGCUUCCCUUGUGCUCCGUUUUCUUUUUUGCCUCUGCAUGUGAGUAGUAAUUUUCAACUAGUUGAAUUUUUAGCCGCACAGUAGGGACAACAGCCAUGCUCUGCUCCAUUUUGAUGUGUGUGCUGCUACUUGAUUCAACUUUCUGCAGACUUGAUUUUCUACCGAUAACGCAGUAGCUUGUGGAGAUGGAGUCAUUAACGAUUGGUGCAAGUACUCCUCUCCGCCUUGGACUUGAAGAAGUUGACUCCCCCUUGAAACAGAUGCCAGGUCCAACGGGGCCCGAAAAAAUUGAAUCUAUCUCGGAUUGAUAGCAGUAGUCUGCUCUCCGUUGUAAAUUGACUUAGACCAGUGACGCUGACUUCUUUUUUCCGGACUCUGGCGAAUUCCAAAGAUGCGAUGAUGCGCGUCGGCUCCUUCUCGGACUCGACGAGCAACAAAUAGAUUGAUUUUGUGGAUGAGGUCCUUCAAGCUCACCCGAUGAUCUCGACAAUCACCCCUACCUAGCGCGCCAGAUGUCGGUGUUUUAUACUCGGCAACCUACCGAGGGUAUCCCGAGGUAGUAGAUUGGUUGGUAAAGGAAUCGCCGGAUCAGGAACUUGAUGGUAAAAGUGGGGAAACAAGGCACAGAUUUAUACAGGUUUGGGCCGCCAGAGUAGGAUAAUACCCUACGUGCUGUUUAGGGUGUUGUAUAUUGCGCCCUGCGCUUGGGUGUUGUUUGGUGUUGAGGAUUUGGUCCUCUGUUAUGGUUCUGCCGAUCUAGGUACCCCUGCCCCUUUAUAUACUCCAUGGGGCGGGAUUACUAGUCGGUUAUAAGGUAGGAGCCCUAUUAGAAUUACAGGGUAUGAGUCCUAGUGGAAUUAUAGAGGAAUCAUAGUAGGAAUCCAUCUUAUUCCUUCCUUGCCGAUACUAGGAAUCUAUCCCCGACACCCACCAUUUGUGCUCGAGAAGAAUUCACGAUGGCUCCUGCUAGGAAGAAGAUAACGAUGGCAAAUUCAAGCAAAUCAAUCCCGAGUGAAGAAGCAAACCCUAGAGGCCCAAAUGCAAGCAUAAAUCAAGAAGCCAAAGGGAAAAUGGUGAGAAUCCCCCACAGCAAGAGACUACCACAGACCAGCAAGAAACAAGAGCUUCCAUUAAUUUGACUGCACAUGAAAUUGAAAUGGCUAGGCUCAGGCAAGAAGCGGUGGAAUUGAACCAAGCAAGGCAAAUAUUAAUAGAUCAAGCAACAUCGCAGGCCGCUAAAGAGGUGCAACUAGCUAGAGACGAAAUCAAGAGAUUAUGUGAGUGGAAUUGGAACGACUCAAAGAAAAGCAAGUUCAUCAGCAAAACACCUAUGCUCAUCCCAAUCAAGAGAGGCAAGCCCAUCAUCAAAACACCUUCGCUCAAUCCAAUCAAGAAAGGCAAUUCAAGCAGCUGAGCAACUUCGCAAACGAAACACAAGGUUUGGGGUAGGAAUCAUGGCUAAAUAGUUUAAGUCAGGUCCUUCAUCACAAGAAGUGAGAGUCUUGCAUACCAGAACAUGGGAUCAAAAAUCGUCUUUGUCACAAGAGCUCCAGCUAACCCCUUGAUCUCAAACUUACAGGCUAGGACCCUUGCCAAAGUACUCAGGACACUCUGAUACAAGGAAAUUCUUGAUGAGUUAUGAGGCUGCAAUACUAUCAGCCGGAGGUGAUGAAUCAGUUCUGGCAAAGUCUUUUAUCAUUGCAGCAGAAGAUGCAGCAACUAUGUGGUAUUCAUUGUUGAACCCAGGGGUAAUUCAUUCGUGGAAAGAUUUGAAGCUAGGGAUACUGGAAAAUUUCCAGGGUUUUUAGAGACUAAAAUUGACGGAAAAUGAUCUGUUUUGUUGCAAGCAGAAAGAAUAGGAGUCAUUGCAAGGCUAUUUCAAAAGAUUUGUGCACUUGAGAGCGCAAGCUCCAAAUGUGUUAGCUUCAGUAGCUAUCAGAGCGGCCAUCAUUGGCUUAAAGAUAGGGCAAUGUCGAUCCCAUCUCAUGCGAGAAACACCAAAGACAAUCCAAGUGUUGUAUGAAGAAUUUGAGAAAUAUUGUAGGUCUGAUAAUGACUACCUCAUGUUCAUGGAGGAGCAAUCUCAACAAAAGCAGGCUGCAAGACAAAACUAUAGCAACAACAAGGGUUGGGUCAGUCCUAGAAGUAUUCCCACCCAACCAACAAGAAUAGUAUUUGGUGUCAAGGGAAACAAUCAGUCAAAACAGAUGGAGCAGAAUUCUACUAACACAAACAACCAAUCUGCAAACAAUUCAAACACUUAGUCCCAGGGAGGAUUUAGAGGUGGAAGAGGUGGAGGAAGAGGAAGAGGCUGAGGUAGAGGUCAACCCCCUCACCAGAGAAGGAAAUUUCAUUGCAUUUUUCAUGGGGAAAAUUUUGAUCAUGGCUCCACAUAUUGCUCGAACAAGAAAAGGAUGGAUGCAAUACUCGAGAAAGAGAAAAAAACAAAAGGAGAGAAUGAACCUAGUUAAUCACACAUCUACACCUUGGCUUUCACAACCUUAUUGCCCAGUCUACUGAGGAGUAAAUUCAAGAACAGUUCAUGCUUCUACACUUGCAAGCUCAGCAUCCACACCAACUUUCAAUUAUCAGCCAACCCAUGCAUUCAAUUAUUAACCCACACAAGCUUGCAGUUAUCAGUCAACUCCCACUUUCAAUCAUCAACCAAUUUGGCAAUCUCAAACUUUACAAGCUCAGAACGUGGAAAAAAGAGCUCUGCAUGAACACCACAUAAUCCCGUAGCCACCACCAUAUUUCGGAGUAUCAGCACCUCCACAGCCAACGAAGGUGGAAGGGAAAUUAGAGAAAUCAGAUGCAUUGCCGACAAUCGGGAUGAUUAUGCCAAUAACCAGAGGAUCAGCCUUGGAAUUCGAAAGUAAGAAACAAAGAAACAAUUAAAAUUUAGAGAGGUAGGCAACAUAUUUGUGGAAGGCAAAGUGAAGAAAACCAAAUGAUCUCAUGUCCCAAUCACCUUGACGGAGGAUGACAUGCAGUUGAAAAGCUAUCAUCACAAUGAUGCCAUGGUAAUCAAUGCAAACAUUACAAAUUGGGAAUUGGAAAAAUCUUGGUGGAAAAUGGCUCUUCCACGGACAUCAUGUUCGCCAGCACCUUCGACAAGAUGGAGUUAAACAGGAAUCUGUUGCAACCCCCAGACACGCCGUUGUAUGGUGUCGGAGGAAAAGUAAUACAUGCAUUAGGAAAAAUUUCCUAACCAGUCUCGUUCCAAACAGUUCAAAAUUCAAGAACAGAGUAUAUAUCAUUUGAUGUGGUUGAAAUGUAUUAUCCAUAGUUCGGAAUUUUUGGUAGAGGAUUUUUUGAACAAAUUUGAAGCUGCAAUUCAUCAACCCUAUCUAUGUAUGAAGAUGCCUACGUUGCAUGGUGUCAUCACCAUUUUUGGAGAUCAAGGUGACGGAAAAAACAUAGAAAGGAGGAGAAUUCUGGGUCAAAGAAAUGUGAAUGCACUUGAGGCAGAGAGUCAAGUAAAGAAGGUUAUCAAAGAGCCCAAAGGAGAUAAAGAGAAAGUAAACAUCGAGGAAAAUUGUGACACAAAAAGAGUGUUAUUUGAUGACAUGGUCUUUGGCCAUGAAGUAAUCAUCAGGACUGAUCCUGAUCCUGAGGAGGAAGAGAAAUUGGUUGAAUUUCUUCGCAAGAACAAAUAUGUAUUUGCAUGGUCUGCAAAUGAAUUAGUGGGGGUCAACAGAAAUAUUACUGAACACAAGCUAAGCAUCAAAAAAGCAAUAAGACCAAAGAGGCAGAAGCUGAGAAAGAUGUCAGAUGACAAGGUAGCAGCAAUUAAAUCUGAGGUCCAGAGAUUGCUCGAUGCGAAGGUCAUCAGAGAGGUUGAGUAUCCCCAAUGACUAGCCAAUACAGUCCCUAUCAAGAAAAAGAAUGGAAAGUGGAGAAUGUGCAAAGAUUUCACCAAUCUGAAUAAGGCUUGCCCAAAAGAUAAUUUUCCUCUACCUAGAGUUGACAAAGUGAUUGAUGCGGCAGCAAGAGCAGCAUUAUGUCACUCCUCAAUUGUUUCUCAGGUUAUCACCAGGUGUGGAUGAGAAAGGAAGACGAAGAGAAAACCAAUUUCAUCACCCCAUUCGGAACAUAUUGUUUUGUCCAAAUGCCGGAGGGGCUCAAGAACGCUGGGCCAAUGUUCACGCGCAUGACUGAUGAAGUGUUGAAACCUCAUAUUGAUAGAAAUAUAAUGCAUACGUUGAUGACAUCAUCAUGAAAAGUGACCAAAGAGAGGAUCACAUCCAAGAUCUUGCAGAGACUUUCGCUAGGCUCCGCGAAGCAAACUUAAAAUUGAAUCCGGAAAAUUGUGUUUUUGGAUUCCAGAAAGGGAAAAUGUUGGGUUGUCUUGUGUCCACCAAGGGGGUAGAGGCAAACCUAGAUAAGAUAAAAGCAAUCAGAGUUAUGGAAGAACCCAAUUCCAGAAAGGAUCUCCAAAAGCUCAUCGGAAGAAUUGUGGCGCUAAACAGAUUUAUAUCAAAAUCAGCUGAAAGAAGUUUGCCCUUUUUCAAGGUGCUAAGGGGGGCUGGAAAGCUAGAAUGGGGUCCUGAGCAGAGCAAAGCAAUCGCGGAAUUGAAAUAUUACCUUGAGAAAAUAGCUAUACUAUCACCUUGGCAAUUGGGGGAACAUCUCUUCAUGUAUAUUGCCGCAUCCCAAUCAGCGGUAAGCGUCGUCCUAGUGUGAGAAGUUGAAAGCGAAGGUGCAAUGAAACAAAUGCUUGUAUAUUGUGUGUCAGAGGCACUGUCAGGUUCCAAGUUAUUGUAUUCUGAACUGGAAAAGAUUGCUUUUGCAGUGAUCAUGGCAUCCAGAAAGUUAAGGCAUUACUUUGAGGGUCACAAAGUUACCGUGCUAUCAGAUCAACCGUUCAAUGACUUGUUUCCAAACAGAGAAGCUUCAAGCAGAAUUGCAAAAUGGGCAACUGAAUUGUCCAAGCAUGUAAUAGACUUUGAGAAGAGGGGAGCCAUAAAAUCUCAAGUGCUGGCAGAUUUUGUCAUACAUUGGACCGCUCCAGACCAUAGUUGCGAAGGUGAAGAGGUCAUUCCAGUCCGAGAUAUCACCUACGAUGGUGCCUGGUGACGCAAAGCAGUUGGAAUCGCUGCAAUAAUAACAUCACCAUCAGGAGUGAAAAUCAGAUACACUGCAAGACUGCAAUACUCAGAUCCAUCACAUAAGUGCACAAACAAUACCACAGAAUAUGAGGCACUAUUGCUUGGUCUACGCAAAGUUAAAGCAUUGAGGGCAACAAAUUUCUUGGUAAAAUUGGAUGCAAAAGUAAUCAAAGAGCAAAUCGAAAAAGAAUGCGAGGUCAGAGAGCCGGAAUUGAUAAAAUACUUAGCGAAGGUUAGGAGAAUGGAAAGGCAUUUUAGGGGAGAUUGAAGAUUAUCUUGACCCCCUAAGUGGGUUUUGGUGAAUUAAUGACACAAGCUUAAGUGUCUAAUGAACUUUAAAGUGCAUGAGCAGGUUUAAAAUGAUUGGUGGACAUGUAGGACUUGUGGAUGACCCUCAAAAAGGAAAUGAAUGAAUAUGAGGCAUACCUUGAAGGCUAAAUUUAUUUUUUGUUUGAAUUUUGAGUAUAGGAAUGCCGCACUAUUAAGAAGGAUACAUAAUCUUUGGUCAUUACGUUGAAAAAGGUGCUUAAGAUGACCUAAUCAACCUAUGAGAGAUAUCUUUGCACUGGCACUUCACUUGGGGAUACUUAGAAUGGUGCUGAUAUGAGAGCUCCAGAAUAUUCAGGAGGUUCCGGAGUUUUCGGAGAAAGUUCCAAAAAACUCCAGAACUUAACGUCCCAACGGCUAGUUUUGGGGCGAAGGGGUAUAAUUACCCCCUCACCCUCUCGCACAGUUAGGCUCUUGACCUAACUUCGUGCUGAGCUUCAGAAAAGCAUUCAAGUCCUCCUCUUUACUCUCCUUUAGCAUUCUUAGUGAGAUUUGGUGGAGAUUUAAGGAGGGAUUCAAGGGAAGGGCAAGAGAGUGUGCUAGUGAGCUGAUUUCCCAUCUCUUGAGCACCUUGUUCUUCAUCAAGCCGGUGAUUUUGUGUUGGUUACUCUUGGAGCUUCAAGCUCCUAGCCGGCUAGGCAUUGCCCAUGGAGCAUCCAAGGUUGUGGCUACCUACAUGAAGUUUGUAUUACCCCGAUGAUUGAGUAAGUGACUCUAUCUCAAUCUUUAUGGUCGCUAGAGUGAGGAAAGUGGCUUAGGUGAGAAAAGCUCACCCUUUGUGGGUUCCUCAAUGGAGACGUAGGCUUCAAGUGUGGAGCUGAACUUCGGUAGACAAAUCCUUGUGUCUCUUGUGCUUGUUGUUCUUCAUUCCGUUCAUAUUCAAGCAUGGAACAUAUUUCUAGGGUUUGUGCUCAAUCUACUUUUCUAGAAGGUUGCUUGCAGUUCUAUCUUGUCCCAGAGACUUAGAAUACCCUAUCGCUUAACCUAUAUUUGGCGAUUUACUUUUGGACAAGCAUUUCUUAGGGUUGUAGUUCACUCACAUUAUUCUCCGGAGAAUCCGCAGAUUUCUCCGAAAAUUCCGUAAGUUGCGGAAUUUCUGGAACAAUCUUUGAAAACUCCGAAUGUUGCUUAUAAACUUGUUCAAAGUUGUGUAAAAUUUUCAAGUUCGACUAUUCAACCCCCCCCCACCCCCACUCUAGUCGACAUCCUAGAUCCUUUCAGUUUCACUGUUGAGCAUUACCAAGAAAAGGGAAUGGUGAGGUUGAUGAUUUAGCAAAGAAAGCCUCCAAAAAUGAGCAAUUACCACCAUAUGUAUUCUUUGAAGUCAUUACAACUCCAUCGAUAAAACGAGACAAGCAACCAAUGAGUUUAGUAAAUGCAAUUAGCAGCAUGGAUUGGAGAUCCCCAAUCAUCGCUUACCUUCGCAGCAAGUAUGAACCAGUAGAGGAGCACAAACUCAAGCACAUGAAGCAAAGAGCGAGAGGCUACAUCAUGAAAGGGGAAUAUUUGUACAAGUUGGGAGUGAGUGCAUCGUUGCUAAAGUGCAUCUCACAAGAAGAGGGAAUCGAAUUGCUGAAAUAAAUCCACAGUGGAUACUGCGGAUGUCAUAUUGGGGUUAGAGCAUUAGUUGGAAAAGCUUUCAAGCAGGGAUUCUAUUAGCUAAUGGCAAUCAGAGAUGUUGAGCAAAUUGUCAGAAUGUGCAAGGCGUGCCAAUUUGCAACCAAACAUCAACGAGUACCGGGAUUACCUUUGCAGUUAAUCACUCCCACCUGGCCGUUACAGAGAUGGAGAAUGGAUAUAGUGGGUCCAUUGCCAACAGCUCAAGGAAAUUACAAAUAUGCAGCCGUAGCAGUCGAAUAUUUUACCAAAUGGAUUGAGGCAAGGCCUUUGACAACAAUCACCUUCGAAACCAUGAGAAAAUUUUUCUGGCAGCAAAUCAUAUGCAGGUUCGGAGUCCCAAGGGAAUUAACCAUCGAUAAUGGCAAGCAGUUUGAUUGCUAUGAGUUCAGGCAGUAUUGUGGGAUGAUUGGAACCAAGCUAAACUUCGCAUCAGUAUACCACCCAAGAUCCAACGGGGCUGUAGAAAGAGCAAACAGUGAGAUUUUCACCGCAAUCAAGAAAUGCCUUUUCGAUUAGAAAAAGGGAAAGUAGGCAAAAGAGUUGCCGAGGGUAGUUUGGUCUCACAACACAACCGAGUUCAAAAUAAUUAAGUUCACUCCAUUCAUAUUGCUCUACGAGGCUGAGGCAAUGUGCCUGGAGGCAAUAGCACACCAGAGUGCGAGGGUAAUAGCUGAGCAAAAUGAGGAAAAUGAGGCAAUAGACAAAUAUAUCAUUGAGAUUGAUAGGCUUGAGGCAGCCGAGAACUUAGAAAAAUAUCAAGAACAAACAAGAAAGUGGAGAGAUAAAAAGGUUGUCAGAAAAGACAUCAAAGUGGGAGAUUUCAUUCUUAAAAGAAAAAAGAGUGCAGAAACCGUAGGCAAAUUGCAAGUAGCUUGAGAAGGACCGUAUCUGGUUGUGAGCAGCGUCAGGCCAGGAGCUUAUCAUUUGGCCGAUGAAGAGGGGGAGGAGCUGCCACAUUCGUGGAAUGUGGACAACCUUUGCAAGUUCUAUCCUUGAGCAAAAAAUAGGUGCGGGGUCAGUUGCAUGGAGUUAUAAGCACAAUCAGGUCCUAAAAAUAGCAUAGUUUUACUUUAUUGCAAUUUAUUUUACCUCAAAAUGUAAGCGCAGGGUCGGUAGCAUGGAGUUAUAAACGCAAUCGGAUCCCUGGGCAGCGCAAUUUUACAUUCUUGCGAAUUUACAUUUCUACAAAAUGGGUCAUACUCUUUUCCUCACUAGGGGGGCUCCACAUCGGAGGUGAGGUUUUUAAUGAGGCGAUCCUGAUGUAAUCAUUUACAUUAUGAAGAAAAGAAAUUCCCCCUGAAACCGUGCUCGAGAAUGCGCAUGUGAUGCGAUAACUUUACUUUUAUGUCUAAGAACACAUUCGCAUGGGGUGUCAGAAAGAACACACCUGUGACGCGAUAACUUUACUUUUAUCUCUAAGAACACCUUCGCAUGGGGUGUCAAAAAGAACGCGCUUGUGACGCGAUAACUUCACUUUUAUGUCUGAGAACACCUUUGCAUGUGUGUCAGAAAGAACGCGCAUGUGACACGAUAACUUUACUUUUAUGUCUGAAAACACCUACGCAUAAGGUGUUAAAAGAAUGUGCCUGUGACGCACCUUAUCAUCUUUCUAUAAGAGAAAGAGAUAAGAAAACACCUUCGCACAAGGUGUGAAAAGAAUCCGCCUGUGAUGCACCCAAUCUUCUUUCUAUAAGAGAAAGAGAGAAAGAGAUAAGAAAACACGUUCGCACAAGGGGAUAAAAAAAUGCGCCUGUGACGCACCUUAUCGUCUUUCUAUAAGAUAAAGAGAUAAGAAAACACCUUUGCACAAGGUGUUAAAAGAAUGCACCUGUGACGCACCCAAUUUUCUUUCUAUAAGAGAAAGAGAUAAGAAAACACCUUCGCACAAGGUGAUAAAAUAAUGCGCUUGUGACACACCUUAUCGUCUUUCUAUAAGAGAAAGAGAUAAGAAAACACCGUCGCACAAGAUGUUAGAAGAAUGCACUUGUGACGUGUCUUAUCAUCUUUCUAUAAGAGAAAAAUUUAAGGAAGAGAUUCGGCAUGUGAAGGUGUCAGAGAAAGAUAUCAUGAUCAUCGAAAACAAACUAGGAAGUAAAAAAUAAGAAAUUAACGUCGAAAGCAACCUAAAGGUUGCCAAUUCGACACACACAAGAGUUGGACCUGCGAAGGUUUUCAGCUAAAUGAAUCCAUCUCAGGCCAUGUUCAAUUAUAAAAGCUUACAAAGAAACAGUUUCCUCUGCAUCUCUAUCACUUUCUGAAAGGGGGAAGACCUUUUUUGUAAAAAAAAUUCCGAAAGUGAUCGAGACUUGAGGAAAAUCAAAAGUUUACAAUUCAAAAGGGAAGUUCGACAACACAGCCUACACGAACAGAGGCUAUGCUAGGAUCAAAACCAUUAUAUAUAAAGCAAUAUUCUUCAUCCUUGGGGCACUCAUUUUCGAUCUUGACCUCCGCAGCAUACGAUUCAAAAUCUGAUGCUUGGGAUCGACUAACCCGUCCACCACCAGUAGAAUCAAGCAAGUGACAUAGUGCAUAGCUGCGCAAUGGAUAAUAGGAACAACAAAAAUGCUAAAAAUCUUCAAAGGACUUAUCCGGGAUACUUAGCAUGAUAAACCGUCCAAGAAUGGCUACUGACGCACAAGCCUUCUCGAUAGAAUGUUCUGGGAACAACAUCACGCACAGUUUCAUCACAUGGAACCUGCGCCACAAUUGAUAUUUACAACAAAAUGAGUAAUAGUUUUUCCACUUAACAAACAUUAUUUACACCUUCGGCUCCUAUUCAAUACUUGGCAGAUCUUGAGGUUGUGCAUCAUGCGGCAAUGAUUCUUGGGGCUGGGAAACCCGAGGAUCUUCAGGCACGGAUGAUGUAGAGGGUUUUAUAGUUUCAAGAGCAGUAGACGCCAAGGGCGCCAUCUCUGCAGACUGACAGUUGGGCUUUGGGGCCGGCCAUUGACAUGGAGGAGCAUAUGAGCCUUGAGUGGCAGAAUCCCAAUGAAGAGCUUGAAGCUUGCAAAUCUCCAUUGUCUGUUUUUCCUGGCCAAGAUAGAACUAUGAGGUAGUAACCUCAUAGCAUCAAAAAGUAUUUCAAAAGCAUUCUCAAGAUUGCAAAAAAUAAAAGACUAAAGGAGAAAACUACCUAUGCGAGACGGUCGGCAGCCUUUCUACGGACACCUUCGCGGCCGCUUUUAAUCUAGAACUCCCUCAGAAAUAACUUUGACACGGCAUCGACAUUACGACUAGGGGCUAGAAUUUCAGAGUGAUCUGGAAACUUGAAACCGCAUGAUCCAAAUUUUUUGAAGUGAUUGCAUCCUUCACCUUCAAGAAUUUGAAGCAAGGACUCAGCAGUUGUACCCACGCCAUAAUCACCAACCUUGGAUAAGAUCUCAGGCAAGAAUUUUAACUCAUCCGACAGCCAUUGGAAGAGUGUUCCUGUGUUCCUAGACCCAGGAAAAGGCUGUGGCUCAGUGCCAAACAGGUUAAGAGCACCGCGAUAUUGGUGAUUUAUGUGAAGGCCCCAUUGCUAAUUUUUUUGUUCAUUUUCUUCAAGAAUUUUCUCUUGAGACGCAUUAACUUGCCUUAAUUUAGAAAUUAUCUUAUCCUUAGUCACCAAAUCCCUAGCUUGCGUGAUCGCAGUCAUCUUGAUAUUUACAAGCUCCUUGCGAACCCUGUGAAAGCACUCUGCAUCUUUCUCAAUCGUCACGCGAAGGUUAUCGAGAGCUAUCUCUUGUUGCUCAUUACGCAAGGUCAAAGACUUAACCUCAGCAUAGAGGUCUUUAUUGUUCGCUUCCAUUUGAGCAAUUUGAUCCUUUAGCCUCUGUACCUCGGCAGCGAGAUCUGCUUGCUCAAUGCGUAGGUCUUCCAUCUCGUUGAAAACAUUUUCACAACCAAGUUUUCCAGCAAUCAUCCCUUUCAUUGUGAACGUCGUCAUCAAUGAGCAAAGCUCAAGUCCAUUGAGACCAUCGAUUCAUGACUCAAAGGCUGCCAAAAAGAAUACAUUAGGAUUUUCUCUACAAGCGAAACAAAAAAAUAAAUAAUAAAAACGUCAUUAGCAAAGGUGUUAACCUUUCGAAUCGAAAAAUUGAUAUUGCGGAAUUUCAGUGUUAGCCUCACCAAAGUUAACAUCUGCGCCUUUGAAGGAAUCCCCUUUUUCAACAUUUGUUUCAAAUGACGUCAUGUCUCUAACCAAUCUCAGUUCAUCUGAGUCAAGUUGACUCAAGGAAAGCAACGCACGAGCAGCAGUUUCACCAUCUGCGCAAGCCAGGCAAUUUAAUAGCAGGACAAAUUGAAUACAAAACAAAAACACAAAGUAACAUUGGAGACAAGUCAAAGGUAACCUUUAGGGGGAGAGCAAAUCCCUUUACCCUUUACAUAUGAGGGAAUCUCAAGAACCUUAGGAAAGGAGAAAUCCUCAUCAGUCUUGGACGUAAGAGAAUUCCUUUCGUCAGCAAUCUCAGGGGGCAAGGUCUCAUUGUCUUUGCUUUCUUGAGAAUUUAGCACAGGAGACAAAUUAAGAGGCAAUUUAUUAGAUGAGCCAUCAACAUGCUUGGCCCCGCAUGACUCGGGCGUCAAUACUUUGCUAAAAACAGCUGUGUCUUUGUCACAGUCAAUUGGAUCCUCAUCUAAAUAAAUCACGCUUUCAUCUUGAUCCAAAAUGUCAAUCAUCCUAGCAAAGGCAGUAGCGGAGGUGCUAGGCAUUUCGGCCUCAAAAUUGAAAUGCAUGUCCUCCAUACGCUGAUAGUAUUCAGCAACCGAGCCUCAAUGUUGAUCAAUUUCACAUUCAAGAGCAUCAGUUCCACCAAACUAUCAUGAGGAGCAUCCGCAGGCUCGGGUGUGGGGGUCGCCUUAGCUCCCGGUGCAACUCCGCGUUCAAUCUCAUGAUGCUUAGAAGCAACACUUUGAGUUUCAAGCACUUGGAGUGAAGGCGAGCCCUCAACACUUGGCGGUGCGCUGGGAAUUAUCUUACGUUGUUUAAUAGCGGCACCAGCAGUUUCAAUUUCUCUUUUACGUUUCUACAGUGCCGUUACAACUUUCAUGGAUUCAGAAACAUCUAAUGACCCAGCAACGACCAGUUUUUUCUUCUUGGAAAGCCUUUUCUUCUUGACCUUGGGAAUCUGAGAGCCAACGUUUCCCGGCAAAACUAUUUUCUUCGCAGGCCUACCAGGACGCAGGUGCGGGCUGUAAGAAAUUUUCAUCUCGUCAAACACCUGAUUGAUUCAUCCACCGUGUUUCAAAGCUAUCAUCGCAGUCUCGUGUUCCUUCAAUGAAUAGUUACCAAUCAGAAGAACAGCCUGCCUCUCAAUUUCAGCCAUGAACUCUGCAUCUGAUACCCCAUCUGGCUUUUUAACACCAAAUUUUGGAAAUUUAAUCUCUAGGUCUGUGUCGGGGAUCCUUUUGUUAACAAAACUAGUUGGUUUCCAACCAUAGCGCGAGGGCCAGAUGCCAGCAGCCAAAAACUCUUCAAUGGCAUCUCGACUAGAAACAACUUGACUGACUUGGAAAUAAGCAGAUGUCCCUGGUGAAGAGCGGCUUCGACGGCUAAGAGUGGGCGCGAAUUCCAGUUCCAUAUCCUCAAUUCUUGCAGGCUAAAGGGUACUCCAAAAUUUCCUUACCCUCAAAAUUUUUUCCAGCAACAACAGGAAUGGUUGCAUAGAACCAAUACGAAUCCCACUUCUUUGACCACUUAUUUUUCUGGCCUGGGGCGAGGGCAACUGGCAUUAUGUUUCGACCCAACCACCACGUUCGGAAAGUGCAGCAUCCAUACUGCACCUCGAAUUCUUCUUCACCAAUAAUAAUAUGCUUCUUUUGGAGAUGCAAUUCAAAAUGGCGGGAGAAAGACUCUGCAUCUAUUUCACCUCUAAAAGAACGACUACACCAAAAAUAGUUUAGGAGCCGGGGGAUAGAAUUUGGGGUUAGCUGAUGAAUUCGGACCUUGUAUGCAACAAGAACAUCUACGAAAGUUUUUUCCAAUGGAAAUCUUAGCCCAGCCACGAAGAAAUCUCAAAAGACCACACACUCAUUAGGCUGUGGAACAGGAAUAUCCUCGUCCCUAGGGGGCUGGCAAUCUCCAGUGUUGAAAUAUCCCUUCUUGACAUAGAAGUCAAUGUCAUUCUGACUAACCAAAGAACAGCCAAAAAAGCAACUGGUGGGAGUUUCCGCAACCAGAUGUUUCACAUUAGCAUCCACAUCUUCAAGAUCAUCACCUCCUUCUUCUCCUUCUCCUUCUCCUUCUUCUCCUUCUUCUUCUUCUUCUUCUUCUUCUUCUUCUUCUUCUUCUUCUUCUUCUUCUUCUUCUCCUACACCCUCAGCAGUAUCACCAUCAUCAAAAUUGCUAGAUCUAUCCUCAUUAGAUCCCCCCUUAGAUGAACUGUUAGCUUCGCGGGCAUGUUGAGUGCCGCCCAGGUCUUCAUCUCCCACGUGAGGUGGUUCAAUAUCAGGAUGCACCGGAUUGUUGACCUGGAUAUCAUGAGCAAUCAGAUUCACCGGAUCGGCAGCAGGGUUUCCUUGAGCGUUGGGAUCCAUUAGAUUGGCAGCAGCCAGCUCCUCCUCAGUCAUCAAUCUAGCAGUACUUUUAACGCAUGCCACUUUAUCUAUCAAAAAAACAAAUUUGUAUAACAUUCAAUUCAUACCAAGUGCAGUGCUAACUUAAAGAAAGAAAAUCACCUUUGCUAGAUCAACAAAGGAUGAAUCGAAAGGGAUGCACGAAUCUCAAAGCACGAAAUCAGAAAGCAGCGACGGCACUUGUCAAAGCGAGGGUGCAGAAAAGUUACCACACCCCCCAAUGGUAACCGUGCUCAACAGUAAAAAAGCAAGGGCAAAAUAGUCAUUUAACUACCUUCGCAGAGAGAUCCAAUCCAGCGAGCAGGGAGACGUUUUUCAAUCCUUGAUCGAGAUCAAAUGAUAUUUCGAGGGUUCAGCCCGCUGGAGUGGACCUCGCCCCCGAGGGGCUACUAUUGGGGAUAUGGAUUUGGAUUGUUAACAUCACCCUCGCACGCCGCUUUAGAGAAUUGGAUCAUCACAAUGAUAAUCAAAAUGAUGUUCACCUUCGCUCAAAGCUAACACCCUCGUUUCCUUUUAUUACCUUCAUCACCUCGCCUGCGAGGGUGCGGCAAAAUUAUUUUGAUCGUGUAUGCAGGUUUUCGCACUGGAGGGCACGAAGCGAAGGUAUUCGGCAAACUUGGCAGAGCGAGGCGAAGGUUGUGAGCACAUUCGAUGUCCGAAAUCCAAGGCCCAUUCAAGAUCAUUUGGGCGAAGGUGUGAAGGAUUAGGGUCACGUUGUGAACGUGACCCCGGUGGCAUGAAUAGCGUGACUCGGUUAGGGUGUACAAAUCGGAUUAGGACUCUUUCUUUACCAAAAUGUACAGCAUAUUCUUAGAAUGUAGUGGUUGAGUGAGGGUAAAUUCGGUAUGUAAAAGUCGUUGGCCUCCCUAUAAAAAAGGAGGCACCACCACAGGUUCAUAUUUUUAAGAAAUACAAGCCUUAAGAGUUUUGUUUUCCAUUUGUGUGUGCUUUCUUUAAGUGUUCGAACCAGCUAAAAUUCAUAUUCCUAAGUAAAUUCCCUCCAUCAACUCCAACCACUAAUUCUCAUGCUUCUUUCUGUUAGUUGCCAAACACACCACACGGUCUACUAUAAGAAACUUUGACUAGAAAUUUCUAAUAAAAAUAUUAUAUGUUAGAAUAUAUCUACUACUAACAUCAAUCUCACGUUGUCAAUAUAUUUAAUUUUUAUAUAUUGAUUACCAAAGCUAAAAAUGUUUAACAAACAAAAAAUGGGAAUAAUUUUGGAAUUCCAAAUAUCUUUGUGAUAGGUGGGAAUAUCGUAUACUACCUCCGAUUGGAUAUUUUAUUUAAGUCUUAGACAAGUCGAUUCAGCCACCCACCUUUCGCCCAUAAAUUGAAUUAUCACCCACUUUUCACCCAUGAAUUGAAUUAUCUCAUUUGUUGUAGGGUUGUCCUUCCAUACUUUCUUUUUAUUGUUGACAAAGCUAGUCGGUUGCCAGUAAGUCGGCCCGUGUUCAAUCACGGCCAGGGUGGGUGGGUGCUCACCUCUUAGAAACAAUUCAGGAAAAGCUUUGCGACUUAUUAAAUAAAGCUAAAAUACUCCCGUCAUCUCUCCCAAAUGAGUUUAGAGAGAGGGGUGUCAGCGGUAGGGCUGCCGGCGGUGGUGGUGGUGGCAAUGAGACUCCUCUACAAUACUUCUGCUGGAAUCGCUAACGUGUGGAGAGAGGUACUGCAGGGGAUCUGCUUCCAGUGGUGGGCAGUAGGAUAAUAACAUAAGCAUUAAGUGUGCACAUUUUACACGAAAAUAUUAGAGGCACCAUAGACAUCUUGUCUACCCCCAUAAUCAUUGUGCUAAACUCUAAAACUACGACUGAAUAUAUUUGUUGUUGUGGGAAUAUUUUAUAGGAUAACCAACUCGAAAUGGAUUAUUCACUCACACGAGAAAGGAGACACUGCCUACAAUGAAAUGUUUGGAUGCAACAUCGAGUUCCUAGUUACAGUUCACAAUAUUACAUCCCCUCAUUCAUCUUCCUCGGAAGGUAUGUCCCUCGAGCCAUUUCAUCUCCUCCAUCUUCAGAGCCAGAAGAGUGUUUAGAUGGUGAUUUUGCAGGGAAACGCAGGUAUCCAGUUCAGUCAACCAAAUGCUCCACUCACAUCAGUAUGCUUCAGAGUAGAGUUUGCUCCUGCAAAACCAUCACCACAUCAAAUGGGACACCUCAAACAACGCAAGAGCGCAGUAAUUCAGCCAGUCAGUGGGAAAUGUUAUUGCAUUGAUUUUUUCUGAACAAAAUAAUACAGGAAUCAUGAAACCAACACCAAGUAGCUGAAAAAGGUACAGAUGCUGAAAAUAGGUAGCAUGACUAACCGAUCACGCAUGCCAGGACUUUGCACUACCACAUAUGUACACCUGCAAAAGAUACAGACACCUAGCUGAUAGGAGCACGAAAGCCACGGGUUAGUAUCAUUCAGUUAACCAAUCACAUCAGUGUUUAGGACGGAAGCGGCAACAGCACCACAUGAGCAUAUCACAUACGCUUGUAAUGUCGUUACGCAAUGGAACGCAGAGCAGUGGCGGAGCAUGCAGAGAAACUGAGAGGGGGCCAAUAACAGAGGAGAUUAGUAUACAUAGAGUGUUUAAGUAGUUAAAUUAGCUGUUCCUUUAAGAAAUUUAGGAGGUUAGGGGGGGCAUGGCCCACCUUGGCCACAAUGAAGCUCUGCCAGUGACGCAGAGGAUGCAUCUCCUAUGUCAAGAGGGAAUGAGCAGCGCAGGGCUCCCACAACGGCACCAACAGGGAUUAUUGGCUUGGUGGUCACACCGAUCAGGGUGCCUCUUCAGCCCCUCCUGCGCUUGGUUAUCAUCUCCAUUUGUCCGUACAGGUAGAGAACCUCCUUCAUCGUCGCCUUCCGGCCUUUCCUGAAGUUCCAGAACACAGGCACCACGUGCCGCUCACUGGGGUUGUACUCGUUUAUCUCCAUCAGCGCAGUCUUCACCGCAUUGCACACAUCAUCGCCGUACUCAAACCGCAGGAGCUUCAGUUUUGCAUCAUCUUCGUCUAAAACUUCCUGCAACAAACGAGGAUUGGUUAUGAUUUCUGGACAAAUACUAACCUCUAUAAACGACAAAGAUAUAUAAUACCUUAGCUGGAUAGAAAAAAACAGCAAAUACCUUAUGCUCUCCAUUAACCUGAACAGCCACAAAAGGAUGCCAGGAUGGCUUCUUCAGUUCACCCUGCCAACUUUCAACCAGCUUUGCAGCUUUGGUCUGGUAAUCGACGUUUCCAUAUUUUCUCUUACAUGCAUUUUGAAAUGGCUUCUCGUCAAGUUCUCCCAUUCUUUUGGUCCCAAUAGCUGGCCGGCCAUUUAACUCGUCCUCCAAACCCUGAGCAUCACGAUGCUCACAACAAUCAUUUCAUCAAUGGAAAACAUCUUAUGAACAUCAACUGAUGGAGAACACGUUAGGUGCAUGGUAAUUGCUAAACAUACAACACAUAUAAAAUAAAAUAAUGGAGCAGUACCAUAGUAAGCUCUUUUCGGGCUUGCAGUAGCUCAUCGUUACUUUGACGCUCUUUGCUCACAAGAGUUCCGUUCAAAUCUUCCAGGUCGUCAUUCUUGUCUUCCAGCUCCCCAAUCCACUUCGUUAGCCUGUCAUUCUUUGCUUGCAGCUUCUCAUUACUCUCCGUCAGGCCCUCAUUCUUGACUUGCAGACCCUCAUUCCGCUUUGUUAGGCCAGCAUUCUCGGCAUGCAGUUCCCCAUUCCGCUUCCUCAUCCUAUCAUUAUUGGCUUGCACCUCCUCAUUCUGCUUCACCAAGUCGACAUCCUUGGCCUUCAGCUCCUCAUUCUGCUUUGUCAGGCUGCCAUUCUUUGCUAGCAGCUCCUCAUUCCACUUCGUUAGGCCGCCAUUCUUGAUUUGCAGCUCCAAAUUCUGCUUGCUAAUACCAUCUAUAUUGGAUCUCAGCUCCUCAUUCUCCUUCACCAGGACAUCAUUCUUGGCUUGCAGGUCCUUAUUCUGCUUCAUCAUGCCAUCAUUCUUGGCCUGCAGAUCCUCAUCCUGCUUUCUCAUUCCCUCAUUCUGCUUUCUCAAGCACUGCAUCUCUUUCGCCUUCUGAGCCAGCUCAACUCUCAGCUUCUGAUUCGCCUCACAGUAUCCAAGCUCUUUCACAUCCACAUCUAGUUGAGCCCUCAGGUCUUCGACCUCCAUUAAAAUCCUCUGAGAAUCCUCGCACGCUACCUUUGAAUGCUCUGCCCAUGGGUGAAAAAAAUUAAAACCAUGGUAUGAAGAAAAGAGUGAAAGAUUGAAGCAUGUUUUCAGUAACACAUACCUCCAUUGCCAACCAGACUCGUCAAAUCUUUGGACAUAACUGCUGCAUUCCUCUUCCUGCUUCCAGAUUCUGCCCCAAGAUUCUGACCUGCUGCCACCGAAAAACAAAGAACGCUUCAGCAAGUGUAAGCAAGAUAGCCUGCGACAGGUAAAGCAAUGCGAGUAUACAUCACAAAAUGUUCCUGCCAACCUGUGGAUAUUACACAUCACAGUUGAACACACAAAAAUAGUUAAAGGAACGAGGAAACGAGAUAACUGAACACAAUGAUUUUUUUCCCAAAAAUCUAAGCAAUAAGAUGUGUCGACAAAACUGAUGAUCCAAGUAAUUUAGAGUUGACAUAUGGUGGCAGCCUUCAGAAACUUUGCACUCUUGAUUGACUAAAUGUCAUAGUUGAUUUCACUUUACAUUUGCCUUAAUUCAAGUGCAGUUAUUCGUAAGAAACUGUUUCGCGUCAAUAUACCUAUGCCUACAAGUUCCCACGACUCAGAUAGUCAGAUUGAUGCGCUUGGGGACCAAAAGGCUUGUGCCUCCAAUCGAAAGAGUAUGCGACCCUCAUCCAAAGGUCGCAACUUUGUGGGGAAAUGAAACGAACGAUUAGUAACCUGGUAUCGAAAUGCAUCAUAGAUCAGACUUGGUAUCGAGAGGUAGUAGAUAAACUAAACUGCAGGGGAGUAGUACUAGCAGAUCCCUCAAGGCAGGCUCCCUCGUAAACCAAAAAGAAAAACAAAAAAAAGAAAAAAGAACAAGAAGAAAAUGCGAUGAGGUAAAAGAAAAGGCAAACCGUGGCUUCUCUUACCACCACCAGCAGCACUUCGAUCAACGCCACGGUUCAUGGGUGGCCCGCCGGAUUCUCCAGUCUCGUCCCCUCCGCCGGCGGGGGCCAUGGCUACGGCGGCGGAGGAAGAGUGCUACGGCGGCGGAGGAAGAGGGCACUGAUGAAGAGUGAGGGGGCUUUUAUUGUCUUUCUUGCCUCCUGUCCUCCCGCAACCACAAUAACACUCUUAAAAGGGAAAAAUAUAUAUAUUAUUAUUAUUAUUUCAGUUGCCUACUAUAGUUAUUGUGUCAUCAAUCUAAAACAACUUACUGAAUAUAUUUGUGAUCGUGGCCUCGUGGGAACAUUUUCUAGGAUAACCAAUUUAAAAUGGAUUAUUUACUCAUAUGAGUGCACUAAUUCAGCCAGUCAGUGGGAAAUGCUGUUUGCAUAGAUUUUUCUGAACAAAUGAAUGUAAGUAUCAUCAAACCAACACCAAGUACCUAAAUUACGGUACAAAUGCUGAAAAUAUGCAGCAUGAUUAACCGAUUACGCAUGAAAGGUCAGAUGAUAGCACACAAGAUAAAGGCCAAGCAGGCUAUCACUUGCACUACUGCAUAUGUACACCUGCACAAUAUACAGACACCUAAGUAGGGCACGAAAGCCACGGGUUGGUAUUAUUCAGUUCACCGAUCACAUCAGUUUUUAGGGCCUGAAGCGGCAACAGCACAACCACAUGCUUCCACACAUCACAUACGCUUGUAAUGUCGUUACGCAAUGGAACAUUAACACAGAGGAUACAUCUCCUAUGUCAGGAGGGGAUCGAGCAGCACAGGGCCCCCACAAUGGCACCAAUGGCGCGCAUGCACGACUACUUAUUGGCUUUGCAGUCAGGCGGCCUAGGGCACCUCAUCAGCCCCUCCUGCGCUUGGUUGUCGUCUCCAUCUGCCCGAAAAGGUACUUGAGCACCUCCUUCGUCGUCGCCUUCCGGCCUUUCCUGAAGUUCCACAGCUCGGGCACAACAUACCGACCACUGGGGUUGUAUUCAUUUAUCUCCAUCAGCGCGGUCUUCACCGCAUUGCACACGUCAUCACCAUACUCAAUCCACAGGAACUUCAGUUUUGCAUCAUCAUCAUCUAGAACUUCCUGCAAUGAACAAGGACGAGGACAACUAUUAGUUCCAAUACUAGCCUCUAUAAAGAUAACACAACAGUCAGAUAGAACACGGUAAAUACCUUAUCUUCUCCAUUAACCUGAACAACCUUAAAAGGAUGCCAGGAUGGCUUCUUCAGUUCCUCCUGCCAAUUUGUGAUCAACUCUGCUGCUUUGACCUGGUAAUCAUCGUUUCCAAAUUUCCUCCUACAUGCAUUUUGAAAUGGUUUUUCAUCAAGUUCUCCCAUUCUUUUUAUCCCAAUAGCUGCCCGCCCAUUUAGCUCAUCCUCCAAGCCCUGAUCAUUGUGAUAACCAUUUGAUCAGUGAGAAAAAACCUUAUGAGCAUCAACUGAUAGAGAACACAUCAGGUGCAUUUUAAUUGCUAAACAUAUAGUACAUAGAAAAAGAGCGGUACCAUAAUCAAUUCUUUCCGGGCUUGUUGUAGCUCGUCGUUACUUUCACGCUCUUUCCUCACAAGAUCUCCACUCAAAUCUUCCAGCCGUUUCUUCUCACGCUCUAAUCUUUCACUCAGCUUCUCCAUCUUCUCAUGAAUAUCACCAUCAUCAUCUCCCUCCAAAUGUUUCAUUACUUGGAGUGUACCAUUCAACCGUGCAACUUCGAGCUCAAGUUGCUGCUUCUCAUGCAGUUCCUUUUCCAGUUGGAGCAUCCUUGCGAAUACAUCUUCCUUUUCCCUCUGAUGUUAUUAAAAUGUAUUAAUUCUCAUCACCAGAACCUACAGUGACCAUCUAGAAAGCAACAUAUAAGUAAGAAAGGGGCAAACCUUCUGGUCAUCCAAUAGCUUCAGAACAUCGAAGUCAGCCCUCUGCUGCUCUAUACUGGCUAACUCAAGUUCACUAUUAUCAUCUUUCGCCUGCACAAUUUCAAAAGAAACUUUAAGUAAUUAUAUAAGAUAUUGCUGUAUGCAAUCAUGCUAUCAUACCAAUAUGCUCUAACUGUCAUCAUUAGUUUAUGAGCCUAGCAAGCUUUGGUGCAUGCACUUAGGAUGUAGAAAGAGAACCGGUAUUCUGUGAAUGUCAUAGAACUUAGAUGAUAAAAUACUUCAUAACAAUACAUCCCUUGUCAAAGUGAAAGUACUGAUGAUAUAUAAUUUUAAACAACCUGUACAAGUUUGAAAUGGAAAUAUAAAACAGCAACAGUAAAUCCUUGUUUUCAAAGUAAUCUCAAUCACUUAACCAAAAGAAUGGUUGCCACCCUGUUAGUCCAGAUUAGUGCACCAUAAGCAUGAUAUUUCAGCAGAGCUUACAUGAGCAUAGCCUAGUGCUUCAUUCGUAUAGUUGUUUUGCUUACCUUCUGCUUCUCAUCAUCGAGUGUCUUCCAGUCGUUAGCAUUCUCAGCUGACAGCUUUUCAAGUUGCUUAGCUCGUGAAUUCAGUUCUCUCCUCUUAUUUUCUAAUUCUUGCCUCAAGUUGUCAUUUUCUUGGAAAAUUCGCAGAGCAUUUUCACGAGCCCUGCGAUGAAGAUUUCGCAUUUCUGAAAAAGAGGAUACAAAAUUAUGGAUGAGUUAAUUUAUAAAAGAGAAAAAUUGCUUUGUUAAAUUUGUAAAGCAAAGAAAUUAAAGCUAAGUAAUCAAAGUUAACAAUUGGAGGAGGUUUGUUCAUACGUGUAAGCAUUGUUCAUCUCAUCAGGUAAUUCGUAGUUUUACAGAUAAAUAUAAUGUUAAAAAAGGAAUCGAGUAAUUUCAUGCAGAAUGGCAUUACUAUCAGAAAAACCCUGCAUUCAUCUAACCAACCCACAACAUCAUUUCUCUAUGUAACCCAUGUCCAAUAUAAGACUAUUACAAAACUAACUUCAGGACUUACAUGCAAAAUAUCUAAUAAUAUGCAAUGGUACAAGAUAGAAUUAACAUCUGAGAUCUGCUCUGUUACAAAUAAGUUUCUGUUUCACAGCCAUGACUAGAAAUGUCACCAUCUAAACCAUCAAGUAGAGCCGAAAGAAAGGAAGCAAAAUUGUACAGAUUACCUUCAUUGUACGCCUCGUGUAGCUUCCUGUUGUCCUCCUCAAGCCGUGAGAUCGAGAGUUCUGUUGCAUUCUUCUUUGUCUCCAAAUCCUGCAAGUAUCGGUUCUUUUCCUCUAUCUGAGAUGCCAGUCUUGCAACCAUCUCCCCUGACUUCUCUAACUCAGUUUUGGAGACCUCAUCUAUUGUUUUCAGGAUGGUACGCUUCCUCAAGAACCUUCCCACCACAGUCCCUCCAUUGUAAUCCCCCUCUCGGGCAACCCACCCAUAAACCUUUACCUCACCUUCGCCACCCUCCCCCUCUGCAGCACCUAGACCACUAUUCCUAGUCUCAAAUUCCUUCUUCCCCAGCUUAUUCACACUAAAAUGGUUCUCUAGCGUAAGCGCAUCAUUAAAUCCACUCCAAUCAUUGGUAAACCUCACGAUUGCAAAGGUUUCCAUGCCUUCUAUCUCAUCGAUAAACAAAGGCACAACCUCAACAAAACUAAACAUGGCUACUCUACCAGCAAACUCCUCAGCAUUGAACCCUGCACCGGCUGCAAGAACACAAGCCCAUGGCCAAGCAUACCUCUCAACCUCCCGUGGCGGCCCCACGUUCUCCGCCGGCGCAGAACUGGAUCCCGUAGGACCAACAUUGGCUUUCGCCUCCGCGGUGGCACUUCCACUGCCAUUGGCGUUAGCAGGGGCGGGCUUAAUGGCACCGAGGAUGCCAGUGAUACCGACAAGGUCUUCCGCGAAGGACGGAUCGGUGCGGACAAAGCGGGCGAAGGCGCGGUGAGACGCGCGCUCGCGGCCGUGGCGGCAGUGCUUGCUGGAGACGCCGAUGCCGUCGGCGUGCUGGAGGAGGUCCUUGAUCUUGUACCCCUGCUUCUUCUUGCCGGGGCAGAAGGGGCAGCGGAAGGUGCCGUCCGGGUUGCGCACCCGGUGCUUGCCGGAUGUGAGGAGGCGGAAGGAUUGCUCCUCGUAGUCGCUCUCCGCGUCCGAGUCGUCCUCGGAGUCGUCGUCGGAGUCCUCGGAUUUGGGGUCCGCUAAUCCGGCGGCCUCCGCGGCGGCCUCGGCCUCGGCCUCCUCGUAGGGGUCGAUGUAGUCGUCCAUGUCAAGAUCCAUCCCCGGAGCUCAGGGAUUCAACAGAGACGAUUCCUGAACGCAAAUACAGCGGUUAUUGAUCGAAAUUUUACAGGAACGACGCGAUUUUUCUCCCCAAAUGUUCUUCGAUCCAAACAUACUACGAAAGAGGAACCGAAAGGACUCACCUUCCCCCGAACUGGAGCACGAUCGCUCCAAAUGGCAGCGAAACUGGAUGAAAUUGGGGGGAGAAACCCCCGCCCUAUAUAAAGCCCGGGCGAAAUCGCGUUCUCACGCACCACGAUUGAACGCAACGACGCCGCCCUCGCUGGAUUUAUGGUGGCAUGGCGGAAAUCGGCGAGAAAGGCAACAGCUUUACUGGGCAAGGAUUAACACCUGCAUUCCAUUCCAGUCCUGGGGUUUUGGGGGCGGCGCACGGGAGAGAUGCCACUGGUACGGGGUGGGACGAUGAUAUGUGGGGUCCAUUUCAGCCCGUCGACGGUGGCCGGGACCACGUGUCAGGGACUCUGACACUUUGACUCCUUUGGGAAGCGUUACGUGGGCCCGAGUUCAUCCGGCUCAUUAACUUUAGGUCAUCUCAAGAUGUUUUUCCUUUUUUUUCUCGUUUCACUGUUGAAAUCCCACCCACCUCCAUCUAAAGGAAAUAUUGAAAUUUCUAGGAAAAUAGUUAAUUUGGUUAAUGCAUUAAUGAUGGAAUAAAAAGUUUCCCCUUUUUUCAUAGAGCGUAUAAUUCGUUGACAGAAGAGUUUGAUACUAAGAUUUGGAGAAAAUUUACAGCAGAGGUACAGCAAAAGAUUUCAUUUGAUCUUCCCAUUUAACAUAUGGUUAAAAGGCAACGCAUGUAGAUUUUCUCCCUUCUCUAGUUGGAUGGAAUUCACGCUUAUAGCGUAAAGAGUAAUAGUUAAAUAGGCUUGUAAACAAACUAGGUGUCAUUUGGUAAAUUUAAUAAAAAAAACAGCACACUGCACAUACCCUACUGGCACGAGUAAAUAAUCUUUCUGUAUAUAUGCAUGACACAGGUAAUAAGUAAAUAAGCUUGUAUACAAAGAUAGUAAUAGUUAAACAAGAUUCUAUAGGAACCAACUGUCAUGUCUAUAUUAUACUAUUAUUAUUUUGUACAUGACAAAAGGUAAUAAUUAAAUAAGACUGUCUAUAAACCAACUGUCAAUUCCUAAGUAUAUAUGCUACUAUUACUCGGUACAUGAAAAAGAGUAAUAACUAAAUACAAUUGUAUCAAACCAACUGUCAUAUCUCUGUAUGAUACAAGGUAAAUCAAAUACAAACCAAUUAUUAAUUCAUACAUAUUAUUAUUACUCUGGACAACAUAAAAGGCAAUAUUAAAUAAAAUUGUUUACUACACAACUGUCAUUUCAAAAUAUUGCUAUUAUUCUUUACAAGAUAAAAAGGUAACGGUUAAUUCAGCUUAAUGCAUACCAAUCGUAAUUUCUUCAGUAAAUUCAAAUUAAAAUCAGCACAAACAUAUAAAUAAUCCAUGUUUUAAGUGCAUAGGUUGGUGCUUGAAUCUAGAUCGAUGAAAAGAAAUGAUCUUAACAAUUUUGCAAGCAAAAUUAAAAAUAGAAAGAAAUUCAGUGGUUUUUCUUACUCUUAUAUCCUUUCCCACAAGUUGGUUCAUCUUGAACGGUUGUUGCGGCAUCUUCCACUCCAUGAUCCUUCAAUGAGAUUAUCAUUAUGGCACCCAUGAACUAGACUCGAGUCAACAAUGUCUCAAGGAUUAGAGAGAACCUUGGGGAUUCCAUGGACGUUGGGGUGGCAACUGUGGUGGAGCAGUGACACAAGGAAUGGUUAGCUACAGAUCUAUCUAGCAUGUCUUAUCGACUUAUCGUCGAAGAGCGGUGCAGGGCAGUAUGCUGGUUCGUCAUAGAUAGCAAAGGUCCAUUGUCGCAAUAAGUAAGGCAAAAGGAAGAGGGAGAGGUGUGCGGCCAUGUCAGGUUGAGGACAAUAGGCAUGGCGAUGAUUAAAAAAAAGGGGGUGGCAGUAUGUGGAAUGCUACAAGAGGAGGGUGCUCUAUCCGCCAGAGAAGCAUGGUUGGUUCUACGCAAAUGAUAGGAAGGGGCGGCGGUGUGUGGGAGCAUUGUAGUGGCCCGACCAAGAUGAAGGAGAAAGCGCGGUCUGCAGUCAUGUUGGGGUUGAGGACGAUAGGCAUGGCGAUGAUAAAAAGGAGCGGCGGGCGGCGGCGCAUGGGACGGUACAAGAGGAGCGUACUCGAGCUCUUAGGGUUUUGAUUGUUGCAAUAUCUACAACAGUCGGGGCAUAAAUCAAGGGUCAAGAUCCUUGAUUUAGAUAUAGAAAGAAUGAAAAUACCCUCAACCGACAUCCGACGCUACAGAACCAUCGAACGGUUCACAUUGCUGCCAUUUUGCACUGCAACAUAUGGCCCCGUAACACAUGAGAAGAAUGGGUAUUGAGUCGGAUGGUUGGGAAAUACUCAAGGAUUGAAAUGUGGGAGCAAGAUUGUCAAGAGAAAUUACAAAUCACCAAUUUUCGAAUUUCUUAUCGAGUCAAAAUUGUUAGUUCGUUCGGACGGCGUUCGGACGGUUCUCGGGUACAUGUAGUAGAACAGAGGAUUUAUCCCAAUUCCCAUGGUACAUUAUCAAAUUUUGCAGAUCAGAACCGGAAAAGGAGUCAGUUGUCUGCUCGAGUCAUCUUCCUUAGGCAAAAGAGAGUACAACAUUUUUGUGAUUGGUUUUACGAAGAGAGGCUUUAUGGCAUGCCGGAUCCUUGCUCUCUUGGUCUUUUUUUUCUUGCACCAGGCUUACUCUACCUUAGUCCCUGGGCUAAACUUUAAGCCAUGCUAAAGUUUAGCCCCCUUAAAUGGAGGGUUAAAGUUUAGCCCCCUUGGGCUGUUUGAAAAUUAGGCUAAACUUUAGCACCUAGGUUUACAAAAGACUCAUUUACCCCCACUUCCUUCCUUCCUCCUAUCUCUUCUUCUCUCUCUUCCCCUUCUCUCGCUCUUCUCCCCACCUCCCCCAGCCGCGCCAGCCUCCUCGCACGCCGGCGGCCCUGCGCCCACCCGGCCUCCGCGCCCCUAGCUGCCCUCCCUCCCCCGCUGGGAGCCAGUGGCCACGCGGCCAAGCUCCCCUCCCUCCCUGCAUCGGCAGCCGGUGGCUGUGCCCGCGUGCCCAAGCUCACGUUACUCCCCGCGCCGGGAGCUGGCGGCCGCGUCCCAGCCUCCUUCCUCCCUGCGUCGCGCUCGACUCCCCGCACACCAGAAGGUCGCUUCACUCCACUCCACCCCGCCUCCCCUCUGCAUGCUCCGAUGGUGGCUCGAGGUCCGACGAAAGCCUAAGGCAGAGCCCCGCGCGGCACAACCGAGCUGCGGUGGGCGAGCAAUGGCAGAGCCCCAUGCAGCAGCACGAGCUCCGACGAGCGCCGGACCUCUCGCUAAGCCGGUAGCCGCGAGCUCUUCCGCGUGCCACGGCGCUAGGCCGGAGGCCAUGAGCACGCAGCCGGCCGCCCCGGAUCCAGCGUCAGGGGCGCCGCCAAAGAACUCGGCCGAGGCGGAGGCGGAGGCGGAGGCAAGAGGAGGGCGGCGGGGGCGAGGUUGGGCGGCAGAGGCGGCGGGGCCGGCCGGAGGCGGCUUGGCCGGCGAGGUGGAGGCGAGUGCAGUGCGGAGGAGAGAGAGGGGGGUGCGGGAGGGCAACCAGGGAAAGAUGGUCCUUGGAACCACUUUUAACACCCAUUAGCCCAUUUUAGCACCCCUUAAGGGGCUAAAGGAAAAGGGGGGCUAAAGUUUAGCACCCCUCCUUUAGCCUAAAAUGGGGCUAAAAGAGGCGGGCUAAACUUUAGGCCCCCCCUCCAAACAGGGCUUAACUCAACUUUGAGAAUGCCAGACAUAAAUUUUACCUAUUUUAGUUUAGGGCACUAGUUUUGAGGUCCGAUAAACCGUUUCGAGCACUAUAGAGUCCUGCCACCUCUUCACACUAUACCUCCAUACGACCCCUACACACUCCAGAGCUCAUUACCCGUGGCUAGCCUCUUCAUGGCGUGCUCCACUUUAAUAACUCCCUCCCAAACGAGUGGCUUGCCGUCUCCCUCAUCUUUGUGCUAACACAUGACUUCCUGAUAUGCACCCUGUGCUUGGGUCGUGACAUGGAGUUCAUCCUUAUCUAGGUGGGCUUCGCACUCCUGCAUUAGCUCGACCCAGUAUAUGCCCACAACCACAUCUUCAUCUUUCACGACGAGCUCCACGUCCUACCACCCUUCCUCUUUCCUAAGAUGUUGUUCGUAAAGGUCAUGCUUACCAACAUCUAUGACACCUGCAGCCCCGACACCAUCCAUGCUAUUACAAAGCUACACCGACGGGCUGUCCAAGUGGGAGGAAGAGAACCUCCACACGGUGCGCUUCGCACAAGGUGUUUUGAAAUGUUGGACUUUACAUGUUUUAAUGCCGCGGCAGUGAUUUGAGACUUUGUUUUAGCAGUUGGUUUUGCAUGUUAGUUUUAGGAACUUUUGAUGUCGCAGUAGAUAUAUUUUUGUUGCUGCAAAAGGUGAUUUGAGGCGCAUGGAAUUUUACAUGUUUCGAUGUUGUAAGGAUGAUUUGAGUCUUUCAAGUUGGCUUUGGGUGUUGAUUUUAGCAAAUUUUCAAUAUUGCAGAAGAUAAUUGUGAAGGUUUUUACUGCAAUAUGUGUCUUUAGAAGUUGGGUCUUACACCCUCCGUCCCAAAUUACUAUUCGUUUUGACUUUUCUAAAUAUGUAACCUUUAAGAUUAUAUCUACGUACAUAAUAAAAGUUAUGUACGUAGAAAAGUUAAAACGAAUAGUAAUUUGGGACAGAAGGAGUACGUGUUUUGGUUUGCAACGGAGAGUAUUUUAGCAGUUGAUUUUGGGGGUACAUGUUGGCCUCGUAAUGAUUUGAUAUUGCAAUAUACGUAGGAACAAAUAUUUGCGGGAGCAGCUCGCAACCGGAGCAGCAAUACGCUCCACUGCCGUUGGGCAGCUCGCCGUUGGGUAGCUCAUGGACCUCACUCGGACGCUGGAAGGUUUUCUUCUGCUUUUGCUUUUGGAUCGCGACGGGAGUAGGGUGCAGACGUUUUUUUAUUUAUUUAAUGGUUAAAUCGGUGCGUCAGACGUUCAGGAGCUAGCGAGACCAUAAAAAAAUCUAAAGAUAUUUCAUACUGAAAUGAAAAUAUUUUAUUAAUAAGGUACUAUUGUGUUCCUUUUUAUUGAUUUUUUCCCUGUACGGGACCAAACUCUUUUUUUUUUCCGAAACUCUACGGGACCAAACUCCAACGGCUCAACCCCAACAAUUUACAUUGUGCCACACGGUAGUAGUUCACGGCUUGACAACACUGUCACCUUUCACUGACCAGAUGCUGGUGCAAAUCACACCUCGACCAGAGAACACGGCAAAAAAUUAGCACGCAGCGGCUUCGAGCCUUCGAGCGAUCGACCGAGACGACCAAUGCACGGACGCUCGCUCACCAGACGGGCAGCAGGUAGCAGAACUCGGCGUCGUACGGCUCGACCUCCACCAUCUUGGCCGCCGGCGCCGGAGUCCCCACCGUGCCCCUGCCGCCGCCGCUAGCGCCCAGGACCUCCCUGAUGGCCCGCCGGAGCGGGCCCGACGCCCGGGGCAGCUGGCUGUGCACCCACUCCAGCAGGGACGCGUCGUCGUCGGCGAAGUCCCGCAUGUGCCAGUGCAGCAGCUUGGGCACCACGACGGCGCGCUGCCUCCGGCCGCCGGCGACGCGCACCGCCGCCUCCAGGUACUCCACCUUGGCGCGCUCCAGCUCGUUCGACACGUCCUCCGCCGUGUACACGCGCAGCUGCAGCGGCCGCGCACGUGAGGUCAGUGUCAGUCUGUGGAGCAGAGAAAAAAAAAUGCCAGUAUGUAGGAGGAGCUCUGGCAGUGACUGAUCGGCAUACGCACCGCCGGCGAGGAGCGGCUGCCUCUGCACAGCGCGAAGACGACGUUGGGUUCAGGGUACCCGAGGCCGUACAAGUGCAGAAGAUCCCUCUGUCCUUCGUCCAUGAUCCCCUUAUCAUCAUCAUCAGAAUAUCAGAUAACCUUGUUGUUAAGAAUUUAAUGAAGGGAAAUGAUGUAGUAGCAUCCUAUUCCUGCAAGAAAGUUUAUGGUUGGAUGGUGUAAACCUAAUCUUGCAUACCUGCUUGCCUUCGGGAGAGUGCCUCAGGAUGAGGUGCUCGAUCGACAGGACAUUCAGCACUGUUCCUCCGACGUUCACUGAAGCCUGAAUGCCAGUUUCUGUUAGCAAUGUGCGUAAAGAUGACGGAAUUCGAUCUGAAUCAUCAAAUUUUUUGUCAGCAAUGUGGAAAGAAACGCUACACCUGAUUCAGCAGCGCAACAAGCUUUUCCGGGGAUGGAGGUAAACCGUGCUGAAGAAACGCCUGAAAUCAUGCCGGAAUAACCUGUCCUGAAUCAGCAUUGUUGCUUUCGAGCAAUUGUUCUAUGCCUGGAGAUGCAAUUAAAGGGCAGCUUACAGUACAUGCAUCACGCAGAAGUUGUAGAUGUUGAUCCAGAACGCCAGCUUCUGCUUGUUCGUCAGAAGGCUCGGAUCGGCGGUGCAAAGCUUUUGCAUCAAUCCCCUGUAAGAGAACGCACACGCAAAACAAACGCUAUCAUUCAGACCUGAAGCUUCCCCUGACCGUUGAACAACAACACGCCCAAACGGGAAGCCUCACCUCAGGUUCUUGAUGUCGACGAGGCACAGCGAUAUGCGGCUGACGUCGACGGACGCCCUCGUGAACUCGACGAACCUCCUGUGGCACCCGGCACCGGCAGCGGCAGUCUCCUUAUCCGCGCCAUGUCCGGCCUUCGCCGUCGCCGACGCCCUCCGGUUCUUGAGCGGGCUCAUCGCGGCGGCGGCGCCGGUCACGGCGACCCUGGGGACGAGGCUCCGAGGCCCGAUGCAGGAGAUGUUGAGCUUCGACGCGCCGCCCAGCUCCAGCUCCCCCGCGUCCCCCGCCUUGUUCAGCUUUUGGAAGAUGGUCACCAUCAGCCUGAUCAGCUCCUCCGACAGCUUGUUCGGGCUGCUCAGGCAGACCUUCCUCUCCGGAGGCGUCGGCGUCGUCUCCGACGGCUUGCAGUGGCUGCUUCUCCUUGCAGUGACAUGCUCCAUUUCAUCUCCUAAUUAAAAUAUCAUGAUGAUCAAGCAGCAACAAAAAAAGAACAUAUGAACUCUGAACUCGCACGUGUUUUUGCUGAACAUUUCAUACCUUUGGCGGAGGCGGAUCCAACAGAAGCCUUGCUCUCGCAUUCGAGAGCUUCGUCGCUGCUUGGGCAGGGCAGCUUCGGCAGCUGCUGGGCACCCUGGAGCUGGAGCUCUCUCCUGGACACGGAGUGCCGGGGCUGGCGGCUCUGCGGCCAGCUCUGCUGCUGCUGCUGCUGGAUGCACUGGUCCGUCCACCUCUGCUCCCGGCGCAGGCGCAGCCGCAGGUCCUCGACCUUCUUCUCCAGGUAGAAUAUCUCGUCCUCCACCAUCGCCAGCUCCCCAAGCAGGCCCCUAACCUACAUACACCAGUGCGAACAAAGCAAGUGAAAAAUUCAUGUCAGUCAGCGAACACGUUCAGCAGACAGGCAUUUUGGUCAGGUUCCAGGCUUCCAGCCAUUGGCAUGAUGAGCACACAGAAGCACAGAGUUACCGACAGAAGAAGAAUUUUACAGCUGAUGCUGACAUGGUUAAAUACUUCGUGAGAUCGAUCGUACUGAUACCAUGCCAUGGAAGGCACUGAUCAUUGGUCAGCUAAUGGAGGUACAAUAAUGCAGGAUCCAAGGAAACCAGCAGAUCUGGUAGAUAAGAGGUAGGAGGCAGCGAUUGUCCGCAGGCGACUCGAAACGGCGACGCUCCAGAUCGGACACAGUACUUCCGCGUCCUUCGUUCAGAGGUCAGAGCCAGGUGACAUCGGAUGAGACAGGAACGGAGGCAGGAAUCCAAAGGACAUACUGUACCCGCACCUGGCGUUGCUCUCACACCCGGGGUACGGGGACCCUGAUGAGAUCUUGGGCCCGUGGAAUGGAGAUCAGGAAAAUGGCCGUGCUCUCUGUUACUGUUACUACUACUGCGUGCGUGAUGUUACCGUAGGUGAUCUUAUUGGGUGCAGGAUUUGCAGACAUCUGUACGAGGGUGACAGCGUCACGUGUGUGAUCUUUCAGUUCAGAUGCUGCGGUGAAGUGAAAUGCAUGCUAUGAUGGCAAUUCCUCUGCUGCUGCGGCUGCAGUGAUGGUACGCUGGCAAUCAUGCUUGUUCGUCGUCGUCCAGACUUCAGACUGAACAGCUUCAACUUUUUAAGCACAGCUCCAGACAUAUGCAAAGUGUGCCCUAUUGUAGUAUUGCUACAUAAUCUGAACUAUCAAGUGUAUCCUAUUGUAGUAUCGUUUACAGAUAAUGUAAGCUACCAACGGUAAUAAGGUAACAUGAAAGAAGAACAUAUCGGAAGCUGCAAGGCAGAAUUUGCUCGAAUGGUACUCGUGCGGACAUCAGUUCAAUCUACGGAUGGGGGAUGGCAAUAAUCCAUGAGCUUACACUGAGUGUCAGAUACUUAGACUGACGGAACUGAACAUUUAGCAGCCCAUCAAACAGAGAUGAUCGGACGAUCGGAAGGUGAGCAGAGAGGUACUCACAUUGGUGGGAACGAGUGUGGAGAGGCAGCAAUGGCAGACGACGCGCCCCUGCAGCGAGCACUGGAGGACCCUGCCCAGCCGCUGCUCCUUCUCCAGCACCGUCUCCAGCUCCGACACCUGCACACAGCAAAGGCCCACAGCGUUCAUCAGCUCUGAAACGUCGAGCGGCGGCGCUCGCCGAUCAUCCAUCGCGCGUGCACGCGCAUGUCAGUGUCAGUGCUCUGCAGCAGCCGGCCUGACCGACCUCGAACUCGAGCUCGAGGCGCUUCUCGCGCUGCUCCUCCCGGUCCAUGAGGAAGUACAUGAGCUUCAUCUUGCACCGGCGCACCCGCGGCCUUCUUAAACCCGCGGCGCCCGCGCCCGGCCUCCCCCGCCGCCGGUGCUGGAGCGAGGUGGGGUAACUCCUGGCGCCGCCGGCGGCGGCGGUGGGGCGUAAUGGCGUCGGCGAGCUCAUUUAUGCGUCUCCCCGUCAAGAAAAAGGAGGAGGCUGGUGGGAUGGAGGCGCGCGCGGUAGGCAACGGUGGCGGUGAAGCCGGGGGGACGCGUCGGCGUCGGCGUCGCGCGCGUCACGCUUCCCGUGCGGGCAACGGAAAUCUCUGGCCCAUGCGACGCAUGACCGGCUUAAAUUCACCAGCGGUUGACGCCAACGCUCGCUCGGGGAGGAGUUUGCUUGCUUACCGAGGGGCUGAGAAUUUAUGCCCGUGACGGGAUCUGUUACCGAGGAGACUUUGAUGAGGGGUCUCUCCUCUCCUCUCACAUUUUCUCUCUCGAUUUGUUAGGCCAGUCACAGCACAAUUUCAUUGCACAUUUACCUGAACUACGUAACUGUGCUAUAUAAAUUUUACUAGAACUCCUUCCUCGUUUGAUGAAACUUCCUCUAUUAAUUAUCUUACCAAGUCAGCAAUUUUGCUGAUGUGAUAUUAAAUUUAAUGCCAUAAAACUUCCCAUCGAGACUGGUCUUACUGUACCAAUAUUUUACUGUACCAAUAUUUUAGGCAAAAUUUGAACCUUGAAUAAUAUGGUUUGGUUUCCUAUUUCAUUCGUUAAAAACAUGAUAAUUCUGAAGUGACCGGCACUCUUUCUUUCUUUUUUUUUAACCCAACAAUUCCCAGGGUCAGUUUCCUUUUCAGAUUGUUGAAUUGUAUUGUGGAAAAGAUUGCAAAACAUAGUAUAGGUUCAAAAAUUCAAAAAAGCUAGCACUUCCCCCGUCAAAUGUAAGGCUUCAUGCAUCAUCACCCUAAUCUGAUCCUGCCAAUCAGCUCAAGGUACAGAUACUCUUUCAUUUCUCCGAAAGUGCAUUGGCUAGGGCAGCAUCGCUAAUCCCCUUAGAUGUGCCUACAAAAUGUUUUGUUUGAUCGGCCAAUAAUGAACGCAUCAUUCCAUCAUGGUACAAUUCUGACGCUGCGUCCCAAUCAUCGCAGGCGUGGAAAAGAAUCCUAGUCCUAGGACAGUGUAGGGUUUCAUACCAAUACUGUUAUGUCAUCAAUGAAAUCAAAUUAUCACUUUCAGAACACAGUUUCAUAGAUAACCUGCGAGCGAUGAAACUAUAACAUUCUAGUUUCAUAAGGAUAAAACUCCCCUUUCAUCUCUCCUCAUAAUUAGAUUGCCAAGUCAGCAAAACGGCUGAUAUAACAGAUUUGGACGGUUUCAUGAGGAUAAAACUCCCCUUUCAUCUCUCAUUGCCAUCUCUCCUCAUAAUUAGAUUGACAAAUUGCCAAGUCAGCAAAAUUGCUGAUAUAACAGAUUUAAUGCCCAUGAAACCUAGAAUUUAAUACCAUAAAACCCCACUGAAACUAACCUUUAAGGCUGGUGAAACGAUGAGCGUGGCCUUAGUGAAACGAUGAGCGUGCCAUACAACUGCUUUGCUGCCUCCGUGCAAAGAUUAGCUGACCCGUUGCAUUCACAGGCCCGGCUAAUCCGCCCUCAUUAAACACAAAAGACACAGAUAAUGCAAAGUUCCAAACGGAGUCACUACUAACGUGGCCAGAGCAUUUGGCUGGAUAGCCGGCAUCCACCCAACAACAUUAGGAUAAUGCAAUCAAAACAAGCCUAACGAUUCAGCAACCUAAAGGUCCAUGUAGAAAAACAGCAUCGAAUCUGGUGUAAUGUGACUCACCACAAAAGGGGGCUAACAAAAAAAAACCAUUAUUGAUAUGUCCAGAGGUAGUAAACAUUAUUAGCAAGCUCAAGCUGUGGCCUCAGAAAAAGCUACAUAGCACAGAAAACAAUUCUGUUCCUGUUCAGCGGAUCUCCGCGUCAGGGGUGGAAGGGUCGGGGACACAUCUUAGGCGGACUUCACGGUGGCCGAGUUGAUGAUGUCGAUGAACUCAGGCUGCAGACAAGAUAGGGGAUAAGAAACAGUCAGUAACAGAGGAUGUUGAUAAGGCCAGACACCAUCAUUUUGUUGCAGUCUUUGGUUUACAAAUUAACAGGACAUCAGCUGUCUUCCAGGAUUUUUCGUUACCUUCAAAGAAGCACCACCGACGAGGAAACCGUCAACAUCGGGCUUUGCUGCCAGCUCUUUGCAGUUUGCAGCAGUCACAGAGCCUGUAGGAAGAAGAGCACAAAUAAUCAUGUACCAAAAAGAUUUAGCAGCUGGUGCACAUUUGUAAGGCAACUGCUCGAGAAGUGUAUACCUCCGUAGAUGAUCCUGGUAGAUUCGGACACCUCAGGGCUGACGUUGAUCUUUAGCCAAUCUCUCAGGGAUGCGUGCACCUGCAAAGAUAAUGCAAAUCUGAGUGUUUGUGCGACGUUGUAGUAGAUGAAGAUAUUUAUAAUUGCAAGAGCAUAGCCCAAUGUUGAAAAAUGUAUGAACCAGUAGAGAGUUGUGAGAGUUAAGAGAGACUUACUUCCUGAGCCUGAUCAGGGGUGGCAACUUUACCAGUUCCAAUGGCCCAGACUGGCUCGUAGGCAACAACCACGUUGCUCCAGUCCUUGAUCUUCUCUGUAAAACAAACAAGCAUUACAUCCUUUCAGCCUGAAUUUCCACAUGGCACCAAUAUUUUUAACUUGGCAAAUUGAAGAUAAGGCACAAAGUUAACAUGAAAUAAACAAUCCAGGCAAAAAUAAACACGUAAUCCUUCCAAUCAACAGGGGGGCACAGGAACCAAUUUCUGAACUACAGCUGCUAGAGAAAAACAGUAAUGCCUGAACUAGAAGAGUACAUUUUCUAACCAAACUGAACGCCGGGAUCUAAUUAGCGUAAAACAAGAUUAGAAACGAAGUGUUUAUCAUAAGAUGUAUGGCUACCUUUUUUAUAAUUUUGAAGUUCUAUAUGCCUGGGAGAUAGACAUAAAAGUAUUUGGAUAUAAUCAAUCAACAAUCCACAUGAAAAACACUAACAGUGAAUACAUAAAAAAGAGAGUAUGCACAAUCACAGGACUGAAUGUAAAUGUGAAGUACCAGCAAUUGCUUUUGUUUGUGCAGCAACAACAUCCAUGGUCGAUCCAGCUUCCCUCUGCUCAAGGGUCUCACCAACACAUGCAAUGACCUUUAGUCCCUGAGAGAGUGCAUAGGCGACUUUGUCUCCAACAAACUGGCAUCCAAGCAGAAGAUUGAACCAUUAGAUGUGAACAUUCUUAGAACAGGUGCAUCAAUAAUCAAAUAUAUCGCAGAUUCAUGUCUAAGGGAAGGAUUAAAGAAGAAUAACUGAACAAGUCUCAGCUCAGUAACUGUAACAUAGUCCGAUUGGCAAUAUGCAUAACAGCACAACCACAAUGCAAAUGACACGAAAGACAUGCUGAAUUUGAACUGGAGCAUACCUCAUUUGAUUCUCCCAACAGAGCUCUCCUUUCAGAGUGUCCAAGAAUGACCCAGGGAACGCCAAGGUUGACGAGCAUCUCAGCACUGCAUCAAUAAUGGCUUGCUUAUCAACCAACACAAAAAUUGAAUGAGGAAUGCACCGAAGCGCAAUGUACAAACAGCUUAAUAAGGUUAUAUAUGCAAACUGCUUAACAUGGCAUCAGCAGUAUGAAAAUAACUAAAAUUGAGUGAAAGCCUGAAAGGUGAAUUCAAAAGACUCCAUGCAUUAAUGGUCAAAGGAACAUGAGCCUUGUGCUUGUGUAAACGCUGCAUGAAUUUGCAUUUCAGAUUCAACAUUAAUCCUUCCUCACAAGGGCUAUACAACAUAUGGGGUGGACAGCCAGGAGAGAAUUAGAGACUAACCUGACUUCACCAGUGAAAGCACCUCCCUUCUUCACCCAGCAGUUCUGAGCAGCAACUUGGAACUCUGGGCGGAGCUGACUCUUGACCACAGGAAGGAACACAUAAGGAGGGCUGACAACAACCUCUGCAAUGCAACAAUUCCAAAUAGCUAAGUACAUCAUACAAGUAAAAUUUCUCAGAAGUACCACAAAUCUGCGAUGUUCAAGGUCACCCCUAAAAGGGAAGAGUCCAUACCAACAACAUCUGGAGGGGGAACCUGCCCUUCAUUCAGAGUUUUGACAAUCUUGUCAACCUGAUCGGCGGUUCCAUUCUGCAAGCAUGAAGAUCGACCAUGUCAAUAAUCAGUUAACAAGCAAUUCACUAGAUAUGCAUGUCAUUUGUAUGAGAAAUUUGGCAAAGCAACAGGCUCUUUCACUACCAACCGAUUUGCAAAAGAAGCUCCAAUCUAAGCUCAAAUUUACCGAGUUUCAUCACAAGAAAAUCCAUAAUUUACGAGCUCCAUCACAAAAACAAUAAAGGUUCAAGUCGCUAUAUCUAUAACAAGCAUUGCACGAUCUUAUAACGAUACAGUGAGGAAUAGUAUGUAAAUUGGGGGCUGAUCUGCGUGGCAGAUGAAUAUGGAUCUCCAGAAGUUGGCAGAUCGAACUUCUAACCGCUCCUGGAAACAUGCAUCACACAAGGUUUUAACGGUUUGUUCUGAGCACGAAGCACAGGCGGGUUGCAAGAAUCACGCAGGCACUUUUCAGCUAGGUCCAAACAUACAAAGACCAUCAACAUCACGUUGUCUGAUUCCGUACGAGAAUGACUAAAUCAGUUGUAUUCCUGGCCGGAUCUUAAGAGAUAGCACCUGGAGCAACACAUCCAGUCUUCCCAAACAAGACAGAACAAAAAAAAAUAUCCAUACGUCGAUCUAAAUCGAGAUGGGUAGAAUUCACUAGCAAUUUCCGCCCUCGAAUCCCCCAAAAUCACUAGCUCAACCGCAAACAGAACGCGAAAAGGGAUCAGAAAAGAAAUCCAAAAGCUUCCCACCCGAUCCACGACGAGAAAAACAGGCAGGUAGGAGGGGAAGAGCGAUUACGCAUUUCCAGUUGCCACCGACGAAGAACUUGCGGCCCAUCUCGACGAGGUGUUGGGUUCGGAAGGAAGAGGAUGGCUGGAUGGGGACUUGGGGAGCUUCUAGGUUGGAUUUUGCUUCUUGUGGAGGAAGACCGGAAGAGACAGGAUGGAUGGAUAAUAUAAGGCGGGGCGAGGUGUGUGGCCUCUGAUGUGAUCACAUGAGGCCGGCCGGCCAGGACUCACGAUGACAUGUGGACCCCGCAGCCACCAUCGAGUUUUUCUAGAGCUUUUUCCCCCUAAAAAAAUGUCUUGGUAUCUUUAGGCAAAAGCUAAAUUGUUACGUGUACCAAGGAAGCUUACUCGAAUCUUUGCUUAUGGAUGGCUCGUAUGAUUGCCUCAAGCUCCAAGCUGAUGUUACAAUAUCUCUAAAAAUAGCUGGAAGUAUCCUAAUUCGCCACCAUCUUUUUUAUAUAAGGCAAACAUAUCAAAAGUUCUCCAAGUUCCUAUGCAGCUUGGAAUAAAUUAAACCAAACUAUAGUUUAGCACAUUGUUAAAGCUUGUAAGAGGUUAGUAUAAAGUAGAAACGUUUUAUUUCAAAAAAAAGAAAGUAAAAAAACGUCAUGUUCGUAUGCUCAUCUGCUGCGCGCAUAAACGAAUUCUGGCGGUGGCCUUAGCUAGGUUGGCCACAGGGGACGCGGCUGCAGACGAUCCCACGGUUGCGGGUGGUAUUGUGGGCACCUGGCACAGCAGCGCGGAACAAGGGGCGGCGAAGCAGCGGCGGAUGCGGAUGGCAUGGCAUCGCGCUCGUGCGUGCGUCAUACGUGGCUGCUGCUGAAUCGAUGCGCAUCUCCGCCUCGGUGAUUCCGCUUUCCGGCUUUUGCCCGUGCUGCCUCCUCCUCCUCCUCCUCCUUUUGGUUCCUCGCCUUCAAUAUAGGCCCACUCGCUCCGGAACGGGCCACAGGUCGGCAGGUCCCAUCUCAGCAGAUUCGGCCCGUUUUAGAGACCCAGCAAAAUGAUUCGUUAAUAUUAAGUAUGAUUGAUGAAGUACGGAGUAAGUUUCUAUUUUAAUCGAGAAAGUUGCCCGGCAAAAUUUGUAAAAUUCUCACGGUGAAGGUGCGAGAUUUAUAAAUCACACCCCUCCUAAGACUACAAGAUGGACGAUUUGACAUAGAAUUCGGUUCAACGCGGUACAAAUUUCUACGGCACAUGGGCCUACACCAUCUUGCUGCUAUAUAUCACAUCGAUUUCUUUAUAAUAUUUUUUUAUCUCACUUCAAACUUAUAUAAAAAAGAUUAUAGCAUCAUUGACUUUUUAAACAAACUUUGAACAACAAUAUUUAUUUAAUGAAUUAGUUUAAUAAAGCAAAGUAAGUACCACAAUGCCUAUUAUAAAAAAAAUGUAGAUUUAACUUAUAAAUUCAUCUAUUUGCAUAACUAUUUGUAGAAAAGAUUAAUAGUCAAAUAAAUAAAAAAAAUUAAUGGUGUGCUAUGAAACUAUGCAUUGAGAUUGGUCAAACUAAUAAUGAAUGAUUAACAUCUUUGCUACGCAAUGGUCAACUGGUUGAUAGGAAAAUAAAGAGAGGGGCUGCGUGCUUUAAAACUUGUAGAAGAAAUAGCAGGAGUGAGCACAACAACUCAUCGCUGACCACCAACUCUCUUUGCCAUUGGCGCCUUCGCCUUUCUUUCCAGGUAGCGUUCGUUAUGAUGAUGGUUACAUCCGCACUCGCUACCAUGAUUUAGGCAUCUCUUAGCUUUGUCGACGUUUCCUUCUAGAACUCAAUGGCAAUUGGUCUUAAAAACUGAUGAUAUGAUAGGACGUGUGCCUCGCCGUCCUACCGUAACCACGAAAUUUUAAAGACGACUGGACGCGGGUGAGCAAUCCUCUUGUCAUUGUUUUGUUGUCCGCAGGAAAGGAGUUAGUAGCAGCUAGCUUUUCGUCAAGGUUGGCAAGACCGGCUGCGUAGCUCCGUCCUUAAUUAGUUACCACGUGAAUAGCAUGUUUUUAUAUAUGCUUUAUUAAUUGGUAGCUCCAUCAAUAACUACCGGUAUUUCAUCACUUCCAAGAUUCAAUGGGUUUUGCUUACCGCUUUUUUUUCCAUUAAACCAUCCUGUCAACACUAGUUAUGCAAUGUAAUUCGCAUGGUUGCAGUAGGGUCUGUUUGGAUGUGUUAUUGCUAAAGUUUAGUAUUUUCAUCCAUUAGUACUCCCGUUCGAAGACAUGGCUAAUGGAUGGAGCUAAAGUUCAUGAAAAGUCACUUUUGCCCUUUUAUCUACUCACCUCCUCCCUUUCUCUCUCCCUUUUUGUUUUUUCACAAGCUAUUAACACCCAUUAGCUUCUCCCCACCCGUUAAUGCUUUUGCAAUUUUUUGAAGAUGGGCUAAAGUUUGGAUAGGCUAAUGCAUAAAGAGGUUAACUUUCGUCCAUUAAACACGCCUAUAAUCAAAAGUUGCUUCUUCUUUUUUACUGGCUUUUGACCAUCAUGCGAUGAGUGAUGCCGUGGCGGUUGCGGGGUGUUUUGAUGAGUGAUGCCGUGGUGGUUGUCCUUAGGGGGUGUUUGGAUACUAGGUGCUAAACUUUAGCAGCGUCACAUCGGAUGUUCGGAUGCUAAUUAGGAGUACUAAACAUGAGCUAAUUAUAAAACUAACUGCAGAACCCCUGUGCUAAUUUGCGAGACGAAUCUAUUAAGCCUAAUUAAUCCAUCAUUAGCAAAUGGUUACUGUAGCACCACAUUGUCAAAUCAUGGACUAAUUAGGCUUAAUAGAUUCGUCUCGUGAAUUAGACUCCAUCCGUGCAAUUAGUUUUGUAAUUAGCCUACAUUUAAUACUUCUAAUUAGCAUCCAAAAUACCCGAUGGGAUAGGUGCUUAUUCAAACGGGCCUUAGUUAUCACGUGAGCAGCUAUACCAGCCUUCCACCAAACUAAGGUCACCCGGUGGUCCACAUCCACAUGUUAUUUACAGAAAGGUUAAUAUCAUCGACCGUGACCUGAAUGAAGCCUUAAGGAGAAGGUUCUCCAUGCCGGGACGAGUCAUCGCCCUCCGUGGCACGCAGUGCGAUCUCUCUGGUUGCUGCUAGUCAUGAAACAGGCGAUGUUUCAGAGAUCUCAGGAUUUUCAGACACGACGUCGUGUUUCUUCCUUUUUCAUGUCAGUCAGAGUCGGGCACUCAGGCCUACACGAGUCACCGACCAUUUUUUCAUCAGCUGCUAGGCUAUUUUUCUUCACCGAGGAACAGACCACAUGUCCGGCCAACGAAGGUUCAUCGCGUCCUUUGAUUGGUGACGGUAGAGCUCUCGCGCCUCUCCCGUUGACGUCUGGUGAUUCUGUCUGCCACACAUCUUAUCUGACAUUCUACAAUCGUUCAAAGAUCUCACGCAUCCAUGAGUAAGGUUUGGGGAUGAUGUUGCAUCCGGAAAUUUGACGACCGCGAGUGGUAUGGUAAUAAAUACACGGACUGAGCUUGAUCAACGUAGCUUACUCCACAUGUAUACGUACACUAUAUACACUAUAUCUAGAUGCAUAAUAAUAUCUAUAAAACUAGAAAAGUCAAAAUGACCUAUAAUUUGGAACAACCAUCAAACUUAAGUGUCAAAAUUAAGGUUCUCGAUUCAUCGUCUAGCAUAAAAUUUGCUUAAACCCCGACCUGUUCUUUUUUUUACUGUUGCAACUUGUUCCACGGUGGAUAAAAUCGUUGGCGCAACUAUAUAAUGAUAGAUCCGAUUUGAACUUGAUUCGGAAACGCAACUAGGUUGGCUAAACAUUGAAAACUGCACUAUAAAUGUUGGCAAAGUAAUUUGUGUUGCCACGUCAACCUCGCGUGAGAUGGUCUGGAAUGUGCUUUUUAGGCUGACGCUCUACUCAACUUCUUAAUGAGGUUUAUUUCUUGUCGGGGACAUUUGUCGUGAUGCCUUCUCUUCCAUCUUAAGAGGAGUUUGGGUUGAAAGACCUUGUGCCAGCUUUCGGUCGGCGUUGACAGUGCUUGCGGAUGUUGUUUCCUUGCUGGAGGCAUCAUCGUUGUUACCCUUUCCCUAAGUUAGUUACCUGUUUUGUGUGAGUUGGCUGUCAACUGCAAGUGUAGUGGCUGCAGUUUCUUCCUUGUGGUGGUUUAUGGUUGUCGUGUGGGUGUGGGCUAAUGGUUGAUUCUGAUGACUUGUAAUUGUUGUUCUUUUAUUUCAUAUUCUCUAAAUUAAUCUGUGGGCUUCGUCUAAAAAAAUAAAAUUCAGCCGCGUCUAAAAAACUUUUUGCCAAAUUUCCUGUCGUAUCUCUUUUUUCCCUAAAAUUCUUCCGACGGGCCGGGCCGGGCGCGCCAUUUUUGGCUAAAGUUACCGCAGUGCCCCUUUUCCCCCAGUCGCAGGCUCGCGGCGCAGUGAGCCACACGCCCGCACAUCACGAUCGCUGCUAGCGGGCCCCGCUUUCAGUGACCGCACACCGAACGAACCCGCGCGUGGGACCCACCGCCCAGCGGUCGAACCACCCCUCCCUCUCUCUCUCUCAGCUUGCCGCGACGAUAAGCACGGCAAUCCAAUCCACCACGAAGCCGCCAUCCGCCAUUAGCCCUGCACCACCCCGUCACGCAAUAGGCAGGAGAGAGGUGGAAGAAAGAAAGAAAAAAAAACAGAAAGGAAAAACACCAGCUUACACGAAUCGUCUCGAGCCUCUCGGGUGAAGUUAUAAAUAACCCCCAUCGGGGCUAGGGUUGAGGAUUUUCUUUCUUCGCUUCUCGCGAAUCGCCGGACGAGCAGGGCAGCAGGCCGAAUCGGUUCGAGGUCUCCGCGGGAGGCUUCGCGGCGCGGGAUCUGCCGCGCAGGAGUUGACGGUGUGAUUCGGGAGGUGGGGUUUUGGCGGGCGGCGCCGGGUUCCCGGUUGGCCGAUUCGGGCGAGAGGCUGGGGCGCGGGGGCGGGCGAUCGGGCCACUGGAGCUGCACCCACUGGUUGCGGGCCAUGGCCGGGAUCGACGCCGGGGAGGGGGCGGCCGCCGCGCCGCCGGAGAUGUCGCCGGAGCAGCGCAUCGAGCAGGUGCGUCGCGUGUCCGCCUGGGGCCCCCUUCCUUCCCUCCCUCCCUCCCUCGUGUGUGAUCCUCACCCCAUCAUCGACCCCGUGCGGCGGUGGCUGCUUGCCGGGUGCCGUCGCCCCUCUGGUUCCUGGUCUCGUGAUUGGUUGGAAUCGGUUCGGCGGGUGAUUUGAGAUUUUACCGGUCGAUGGGCGCCGUGGGACUCGUUGCUGUCCGUUGGCGGUGGUGGUGGUGCUUGCGAUUUGCGAUUCCCUUCGAUGGUGCGAUGAUUGGUGUGUUUGCUGUGAGCCUGUGACAGGAACUGACUGGUGUAGGGAGUUUGGGGGUAGGUCCUGUUUUUUAGGGUGACGCAUAUUGGGAGAAUUUGAGAACAGGCCUUUUAAAAAUGUGUCAAUUUUUCAUACUCCGCGUAACUUCACUCUAGUUCUAUUUCCUUAUUAGUACCUUUGAAGAAUUUGUCUAUUUUUUAGUUGAUCCCUAAGAUAGGGAUGGGAGAUUCCUUCAGAACUGGGUGUGUUUCUCGACUGUGUUGAAGAUAAUCAGUUGUCUUGUUGCAGUUGCAGUGAUAUGAGUUUCACUUCAUGAUAAAUUUAAAUGAUCCAGCAGGGUCUUUUGUAAUUUGCUAAUUAUUUGGCAUUGCCCUCACCCUGCAGAAGCUCAUUCUCUAUGGAGUACCCGAAGAGCAACUGCAAGAACACCAAGAAGGCUUACUCAUGUACAUAGAGAAGCACAAAGAGCAGAUACCUGAUAUAGUGAGGCUGAUCUUGUCAGUAGGUACUGAUAUUCUGGAGGCCCGAAAGCCCUCAAAGAAGGAAUCAAGUAGCAGCAGCAGUGGCGAUGCGUACAGUGAGAGUUUGUCUUGGUUGCAGUGGUUGAUGUUCAACCAUGAGCCAGAAGCGAUGCUUCAAGACCUGGAUCGUUCCUCUGCAGGAGAUCGUGCUGUUUGUGGGUCAGUCUGGGGACAGAGUGAUCUUGCGUAUCGCUGCCGGACCUGUGAAAAUGACCCCACGUGUGCAAUUUGUGUCCCAUGCUUCCAGAAUGGCAAUCACAAGGAUCAUGAUUACUCCAUCAUGUAUACAGGGGGUGGAUGUUGUGACUGUGGAGAUGCUACCGCCUGGAAGCGUGAAGGGUUCUGCUCAAAGCAUAAAGGGGCCGAGCAGAUUAAGCCUCUUCCAGAGGAGCUUGCACAUUCUGUAGGACCUGUGCUGGAUGUGCUUUUGCAGUUCUGGAAGGAGUGGAUAUGCCUGGUGGAACCACCCCCUGCAAAGGGUGAUGGUAGUAGCUCAUGCAAGAGGGUUGCUGAAGAGUUGACAAUGUCAAUUACUAACAUGAUGCUUCAGUUCUGCACUUGCAGUGAAAGCCUUCUUAGUUUUCUGUCCCUAAGGAUCCGUGAGUGCCAAGAUCUGUUGGAUGCAUUAAUAAGGUCAGAAAGGUUGCUUGACAAGAAGGUUGCUAAAAAAUUGCAUGAGUUGCUAUUGAAACUUAUCAGCGAUCCUGCUUUUAAGUAUGAGUUUGCCAAGGUUUUUAUACGCUACUACCCUGUCACAUUUGGUGAAGUUAUCAAAGGGUGCAAUGAUUCGCUACUGGAGGAGUAUCCACUGAUGCCAACUUUCUCUGUGCAAAUAUUCACAGUACCUACACUAACUACAAGGCUUGUGCAUGAGGUUAAUUUGUUGGGUGUUCUUCUUGGAUGCUUGACAGAUCUGUUUCUUUCUUGCAUUGGUGAGGAUGGUCGUUUACAGGUAUGCUCAUGUCUUCUUUUUAUGAUUUGAAGAGUUUGAUGUUUAUGCUGAACUAUUUUCUGGUAUAAUGGAUGUAAAUGUUAGGCUGACCAUAAGACCUUACGCCAGGAGUCUAUCAAUGUUGUUAUAACGAUAUGUCAUCUGGAUGCCUAGUAUCUUAAAUUGCACAGAAAAAAAAGACUAGUAGAAUUGCCACUUUGAUAUCUGGGAAUGGAUGAAUGAUAAACAUUUCUGGACAAUACCCUUGUUGGUUUCUGUUAAUUUUUUUUUGAGAAGUGGCAUUGAAGUGCGAAAAUAUUUAUAGAUAAUACUGAUUGACUGGUAGUCUUAUGCCAUUGUAUAUAUCAACUCAGUGCAUACACAUACAAUGCCACUUUACUUUCAUAUGGUUACGGGAGACCCUUUUCACCUUGUUAUUUGCAGACAAACAAAUGGGGAAACUUAUUUGACGCUUCUGUUCGAUUAUUGGAUGAUACACGCUAUGUCUUGAGUCAUGAGGAAGUUUCUAAGUAUGUUGCUUAUGAGAGGCCUGAUCUAACAAGGUCAUGGAUUAAGCUCUUAUCACUUGUGCAAGGUAUGGAUCCUCAGAAGAGAGUGACAAGUAUUCAUGCUGAAGAUGAAAAUGAACAUCUAUCUGCACCUUUCGUGCUGGGGCACUAUUUUGGAAUUGUCCAGAACCUUCUGAUAAAGGGUGCAUUUUCUCCUCCUGAUCAACAUGAAUCAACUGAUGUUACUGUUUGCUCCUCUGCGAUAAACGGCAUGGAGAGUGCUGAAAAUCAACGGCAUGCAAAAGUUGGAAGGGUCUCCCAGGAGAGCUCAGUAUCCAAUUUAAGCAUCCGAGACAGUUCUUUGAGUUGUGGUUUGCCGUCACCUGCUGCCUGGUUAAUUCUUCAAUGCCUGAAAGCUAUUGAAAGUUGGUUGGAACCUGACAUAGCUCUGAGGAGCAAGCUGUCAUCCCUUGAUCCUAGCAGCAGCGAUUCUCGUAAUUUUAUGGCUUCGCCUGAAGAUCGGACUUCUGAUAAGGGAACCAGUUCAAAUACAAAUAUAGGCGUGAUGGGUGUCAAGAUAAAUGAAGGAUCACAACCAGAUGGUACUGCAGAUUAUCGUGAUGUAUCUAGUUCUCCUGUUCAUGGUAAUUGCGACAGGAUGCAGAUUGACCAAGAAGAGAUACCUUCAGCUAGUAACAGGACAGGCAAAGGGAAGAUGCAUGACAGCAGCAACACUACAGAUAUAGAGUUGCACCCUGAGAAUGCCAUUACUUAUACUCUGACUGACGGUAGCCUUUUGCACGCUCAUCCUGAUUCAAGAAUCGAGGAACUAGGAAUACUCAACACAAGAGGUUGGCCUCAUGUUAUCUUUGACGUCAGUUCACAAGAAACUUCUUUCCAUAUCCCUUUGCACCGUAUGCUUUCAUUGCUGUUGCGGAAGGCGAUGAAGAAAUGUUUUGGAGAGGAUGCCAGGCCAGAUGAACAUUCAGUUGUGCAAUCCUGUGAGUUCUUUUCUCAGGUACUUAGAGGUUGUGAGCCUUAUGGGUUUGCUUCGAUUGUGAUGGAGCAUCCACUGAGAGUCAGAGUAUUUUGUGCACAAGUGCGUGCUGGAAUGUGGCGUAAGAAUGGUGAUGCAGCUAUACUGAGUGCUGAGUGGUACCGCUCUGUGCAAUGGUAAUUUCAUACUGAUCUCAUGUUGAUUCACUGUUCAAAUAAUGGUGCUAAGGUUAUCUUGUUACCCCUAUUUCCAGGCUUGAACAAGGUCUGGAGUCAGAUCUGUUUCUUCUUCAAUGCUGUGCUGCACUAUCUUCUCCAGAGUUCUUUGUACGAACAAUUCAAGAGCGAUUUGGUUUGUCCAGUUAUACAUCUUUGGAUCUUGCGGAACAGAAUGAGUAAGCCCUAAUAUAUGCUUGUCAACUUCUGUUUCUUUCUAGUAUUGCUUCUUCAAUUUCUUGCACUACCUUACCUAUAUAUGUAGCUUUGUGGGUUUGGCGCAGUCACUUUUUUGUUUCCACCGGUAUCUACCAAUAAAAGUUACAAUGGUGACAAAAGUUAAAAUGAUUCUUCCCACCUUCCAGCAUUACUUCUCUGACUACGUAUUGCUCAUCUUUUGGUUCCCAUCAGUAGAUUUUAUCUGUCAUCACAAAUAAGGAAAAAAAAUAGCCAUUUUCAUUUCUUUGUGCCUUUGCUUGGCAAGAAAGUAAGGUGCCAUUCACUCCGUUCUGUUAUAAAUAAGUCCCAGUUUCUGUGAAAGCCCAAUAUUAUAGGUCCAUUUAUAGCAGCUACUCCCUUCUUGUAUGAAGUCAUAGAAUCUGUGCCAUCAGACUUUCUAAAGUUCAAUUGCCAAUUUGUUUAAAACCACACUAUAUCAAAACGCUUUCACAAAAUUAUAACGUUAUUAGUAUCAAUUGACGAAGUUAGGGAAGUAGCAGUCAAAGUCAUGUGUCCGAUACCGCAAGAACCAAGAAGUAAAAAAGUGUGAUUCAUAAAAAGAAAGGAGAGAGCAUUUAGUUCUAUCCAAAUUUAUCAAAGACAACAAAGUUUUAAGUAUUUGGUCAAAACUAGCUUUGUUCAAUUUGAGCUCCAUAAUCCAUGAGAUCCAGUCAUGGCCUAGGGAAAUAUUGUUUGCAUGCUUGCCUUUUGCCUUCUCUAUCGUCCCUUCACUGUUUUCACAGUUAUUCAGACUAAUUUCUUACUGAAAAUUUUCUCACAAAAUUUAAGAAUUAUUUUAUGCCACAUGUAGGUUCUGACAGUAUGUUGCUUUCAGGUAUGAGUCAGUUCUAAUGCAGGAAAUGCUAACUUUUCUUAUACAAUUGGUUAAAGAACGCCGUUUUUGUGGGCUUUCCACAGCAGACAACUUGAAGAGGGAAUUGAUUUAUAAGUUAGCUAUUGGAGAUGCCACUCAUAGCCAGAUUGUGAAGUCUCUUCCUCGCGAUCUUUCAUCAAGUGACCAACUUCAAAAUGUUCUGGAUUCACUGGCAGUUUAUUCUAAUCCAUGCGGCAUGAAGCAGGUAUUAGUCCUUCGGUUUAUGUAACACAUUCCCUUAAAAUGCAAGAUUAAUGUAAAACUUUAUCGCAGGGUAAGUAUGUACUUCGCAAAUCGUGCUGGAACGAAUUGGACUUGUAUCACCCCCGCUGGAAUUCUAGGGAAUUGCAAAUUGCGGAGGAGAGAUAUUACCGUUUCUGCAAAACUUCUGCUCUUAAUGCUCAGCUACCUCGGUGGACUCACGUUUUUAGCCCACUGAGAAGUAUUUCUAACGUUGCAACCUCAAAGGCUGUCCUUCAGAUUGUUCGUGCUGUUCUCUUUUAUGCUGUUUACAGUGAAGCAUCAUCAGCAUCACGCGCCCCUGAUAAUGUUCUCGUGACGGGUUUACAUCUGCUUUGGUUGGCACUUGAUAUUUGUGAAUCAGAAAGACAAGUACAUGCCGACCAGUAUGGCAUGGAUGUGGUGCAGCAUGAUGAUGAAUCAUGGGUUGUUCUGUCAUCGUACACAGAAGAGGCUUUUCCCAUAUUGACUUACUCUACUGAAGUAGUUUCCCCGGAGUCUGACAAUGUAAAGAAAGAAAGCAUGUUAACCCUACUUGUGUUGCUAAUGCACAAAUACAAAGAAGAGAAUGAUGCCACCUUUUCUGGAUCCAAGUACUGUAAUAUUCCAUCCCUAAUUGAGAGCUUAUUGAAGAAAUUUGCCAAGUUAAGUAAGAAGUGCAUGUUUACAUUAAGACAAAUGGCGCCACAUGUAGUCCCAUCUACACCAGACAGUUCCAGUAUCAAAGAAAGCCUAGGAACUUCAUCAGAUCCCAUGGAAAAGAAAGCAAAAGCACGUCAACACCAAGCUGCAAUUAUGGUAAGAUGUUUAAUUACAAAAUUCAUAUAUAUUUAGUUACACAUUAGACAUGUCUCAGAUAACCAAUUACCAGCCUUAUUUGAAUGCGAGUUGUCUUUGUUGAAUGAGCUUACCAAAAAUAGACAACUUUAUCAAUUUUCUUUGUAUAUGUACUAGUUCUGCAGUUUCCUUGGUUUGGUGUUAAUUUUGUUUUUACGGCUUGUAAUGUCUACACUUAUUUUGCACAUGCUUAGGUUGUGAAGUUAGUGGUUUUGACCUUUUUCUAAGUUACAUUAAGGCAUUAAGCACAAUUUUCUUCUAUUGGACCCUAUUUAUUUUAGGCGAAGAUGAGGGCAGAGCAGUCCAAAUUUGCUGAAAGUAUGAAGUCAUCAGAAAACGAGGGGCAUGAUGUUCCAAUGUUAGAGACAGAUGUGUCCAGUUCAACUGGUGCGGUCUCUGAGGAGUCACUACCAGUUUGCUCCUUGUGCCGGGACUCGGACUCCAAAAGCCCUCUAUGCUAUUUGAUUCUUCUUCAGGUAAUCAUUGUUGACUUGACAUUAUCUGGUGAUACCUGAUAGGUCUUAAAGUAGCAACUGUCCUUUCUGCAUCAUUUUGGCGUGUAAUGUUUUCUGACUAGUGUUUGAAUAGCAUGUUGAUGUGACUUAAGCUUUCUUAUGUGUCCUACAAUUCAGAAAUCUCGGCUUGCAACUUUUGUUGAGAUGGGUCAUCCAUCCUGGGAUAAUCCAACUCAAGCAAACAAGACGUCUGGAUCAGUCAAGAAGGAAGAUUCAACUGAUUCCUUGGUCUCUGGUUCUUCAACUUCCGAGGAACUUGUCGAUGACACGACAGUAGAGCCAUCUUUUGAUUUAGACAGCAUGGAAGUUGAUGCCUUUCUUGAUUUUUCAAAUGAGCAGCAUCCACUAAUUCGAUAUAUAUCGUCUUUCCCAAGUGGACAUUGCAAUGGCAAUGCAGAUGACACUGUCUCGCUUGAGGCAAUUGAGGCUGAUAUUUACAACUCUAUUUUAAAUGAUGUAUUUGGAUCCAGUAAUGCACACAUUCAGAAUGCUGAGCAAACGUCGCCAUCAUCUGCUUCAAGUAUCACAGUUGAUUCCAAGAAAACCAGAAGCCCCAAGCGUUCUGUGCUGGGAACAUAUGUUAGUUGUCUAUCAGCAAAACACCGCCAUUCUUCACUCUAUGAUGUAGCUUCCAAAUCUUCUGCCUCUGUUAGUACAAGAAACAAGUUUGGUCCGCUUCAUUGUGAUGGCAUCCACAUUUCUUCUUGUGGACAUGCUGUACAUCAGGAAUGCCAUGAUCGGUAUUUGUUCUCCUUGAAACAAAGGUAUGCUGGGUUUUCUCCUUCAAAUCCCUUUUGUUCAACUGUAACUAUAGGCAGGAAAUAAAUAUUUUACACUUGUGCCCUUUGGGUAGGUGUUGUGUUUGAAUGGUGAUCCAUCAGUUAUAUGAGUACAGAUGCACACGAUGGUUGACUUAUAACCUUUGGAUGAUGCAUUUAAUUUAUGGGCAAUUAAUUAUUUGGCCAUCAAAUAAGUUCCAGUCUAUGAUUUGCCAUCGAGCAAGUCAGGUUUCGCGCCAGCAUCUGUAUUCUAAAUUUCUUCACUGCAUGCCAUUGCCGGAUGGCUUGGUGUGAUUUUUCUUUUAAUUUUAAAAUCAUGAUGGUAUGGAAAUUGGACUUGUUUGAUGGCAAAUCAUGAACUAGAAUCUUCUCCUAUGGUAGAUUUUGGAUUUAUUCUUCAAUGAUCUUUCAGUACUCUAUACAACUUGCUGUUUAGGAGCCUACUUGAAUUAAUAUAUAACACUGGCUGCACACCUCCUGUUGAUUGAUGCUUGCAGAAAUUUGUAACUUAUUUUCCCUUACAGAUAUGUCCGGAGACUUGGUUUUGAAGGUGGUCAUAUUGUCGAUCCUGAUCUGGUAUGUAUAUUGUGUUUGAAACUUGUCUUUUUUUUGUUUUUGUUGAUCCUGUGCUUACACAUUGCUAUGUGCAGGGAGAGUUGCUUUGUCCAGUAUGUCGCAGAUUUGCGAAUUCCAUUCUUCCAGCAUCAACUGAUUUCUCUAGUAAAACAUUGAAGGGGAAACCAUUUGUUGAAACCUUGACCCGUGAAGUUGUUAUUACAACUACGUCACAUCUAAAUACAAGUCACUUACAGUUUCCUCGAGCACUAUCACUUCUUGAAAGUGCUGGAAAAACUGUUGGACAAAGCAAGUUUCUAAAAGCUUUAUCAGGGAAGCUUAAUGAUACUACAGAGUCAUCCCUAGAACCUUCUCUUCGAAGAUUAGCCAUGCUUUACUAUCAUCGUGGUCCCAGCGGUUUUUCAGCAUCUGAAAGGAAAAGGCUCAAUCCAUCCUUGUUUCUCUGGGAUACACUAAGGUACUCUGUGGUAUCUACAGAAAUUGCUUCUCGUGGUAGGAUGUUAAACCAGUCUGCUGAGUCAAAGUCCUGCUUGGAAUCUUUGCGUGGUGAACUGAAUUCAUCAAGUGGAUUCAUAUUGUCCCUAUUAUUCCGUGUUGCUCACUCUGCACGAAAUUUGAAUCGUCUUGAGGUUCUUUUAAGGUUUGAAGGUAUCCAACUAUUAGCGGGGUCUAUUUGCUCUUGCAUUUCUGGUUAUAAAGACGUUCUUAAUGCUACUAAGCGAAAAGGUAUAUAGUGCACCCUUUCCCAUUACUUUUUUUAAUGUAUUUACCUGCAUGUUAGAUGGUACUCUUUUCCUUUGUUUUGAAGUGUCCUAUUAAUCCCAGUUCUAUCACAAAUCAUGACUUUUCUAUUUCAUUCAGUUUGGAAUUUACAAUAUUUACAAUUAAUACAAUAUAUUCAAAUUCAUGGAUUCUUAUAUGUUAGUGAUUUGAUGAUUGAUAUGUUGGUUCUUAAUUGUUAGUGUUUGUAGAACGGGUUGAUUCUUUUUUUUUUUGGCAGUGCUACUAUUAUCUUGUUGUUUUCUCUGUUGUGCUGACUAUGUUGUGCUGAUUAAUUGUUAUUGUUUCUGUCUUAGAUCAGAUGUACAAUUUUUUGUGGAGUGUCACUAUUGCCUUUGCUUUAUUAUUGUCCUGAUUUAUAUGCUAUGAACCAUUUUAAGUUUUUAUCUUAUUUAUGAUCCUAUUUUGCUUUCCUCUUGAAAGCCCUAAGUGUUGUAUAUCCUGCAUCUUUGUAUUGGUGAUUGUUAGUUUUAUAAUUUGUAUCUAACUGAAUUUUGAGUUGAUAGUACUUGCAUAGUGAAGAAUUCUUGUCUAGAUAUACUUGCAUUGAUUUUGAAGUAAUAAAUAAACCUUCCAACUUGAUGUAUUAGUAACAAAGUGCCUGAGUAAAGAAAUUGAUUUUUUCUUUGCAAAGACCUAAGCAUUCAUUAUCCAGUGCUCGUUAAAGAAACUAAAUCAAAAGGGCGCGGACCAGUUGUUGUAGGUUCUGUGCCUUUCAACAAAGUGCCUGAGUAAAGAAAUUGAUUUUUUCUUUGCAAAGACCUAAGCAUUCAUUAUCCAGUGCUCGUUAAAGAAACUAAAUCAAAAGGGCGCGGACCAGUUGUUGUAGGUUCUGUGCCUUUCAAGAAGGCUCCAUUACAUGUCAAAGUAGAAGUUGACCUAAACGAAAGUCAAUUUUCUUGUAGAACUGAUUUGGUCAUCAUAAUAUGCUAACAUUAGAUGUCUGAUGUACAAGAAAAAUAUCAAGAGGUAGUAUUUGGUUCUAAUGAUCAUAGCCCGGCAACUUGCGAAUUGCAUUUCUAAAAUUUGUGUUGCUGGCCUGGAUGGAACUUGAAUUAUUCUAUCUCUUGUGCACAUCAUGUCUCCAAAUCACUUACUCCCUCCGUUCCAAAUUGUAGGUCGUUUUGGCAUUUCUAGAUUCAUAGCUUUUAAUAUGUUUUAAUAUGUAUCUAGAUGCAUAGCAAAAACUAUGAACCUAGAAAUGCCAAUUUGGAAUGGAGGGAGUAUGGAAUAUAUAUUUAGGUAUCAAUUCUCACCUUUUUCAUCUUCAACAGGCUCUUUGCCACCUAUGGUUGAUCCAGGUGAGGAGGGUCCCCUCUUCCCUGACGUCCAAUUUUGGAAACAGUGUGCUGAUCCAGUCCUUGCUCAAGAUCCAUUUUCUUCUUUGAUGUCAACACUUUUCUGUCUACCUGUUCAGUUUGUAUCAUCUGCUGAAUUCUUCAUCCCUUUUGUCCAUCUGUUUUAUGUUGUUUGUGCCAUUCAGGUAUGCUGUUUGGUGUUGCUUUCUCUUGAGAUUUGCAGUUUAUAUGUUAGUUUUAUUUGAUUUAAAGCAUGUUAUUACAUGAAUUUUCCUGUAGGCCCUGAUAACAUGCUACGGAUCGGAAACUUUUGACCGAUCUAGCUUCAGUGACUGCCUUCUUAAUGAUGUUUGCAAGACAAUGUCAGGAUAUGAUAUUGCCAGAGAGUAUUUUGUAUCCAAAUAUAUCGACCCGUAUUGUCAUCCAAAAGAUAUGGUCCGUAGAUUGACGUAUCCUUAUCUUCGGAGAUGUGCAUUGCUUUGGGAGCUGCUAAGAUCGUCUGCCACAUCACCCUUAUAUGACAAUUCCAAUAUUUGGGAAGGAUCACAUCUUUACCUGAGCAAUAGCACACAAGAUGGAAGUUCUUCACUGGCAAUGGAGCUAAAUGGAAUAAGCGAAUUGGAAAAGCUGUUCCAGAUUCAGUCACUGGACCUGAUUCUCCGAGAUGAAUCUGUACAUGUGCUGGCCUUAAAAUGGUCUCAACAUUUCUGUGAAGAUUACAGUUCUCGCAAAUAUAGAGGCUCUCUCUUUUCUACCCCUGCAGUUCCAUUUAGGCUGAUGCAACUACCACCUGUCUACCAAGUUCUCCUUGAAAGGUUUGGUCUGAAUCUUCUAAGCUGAGAUGAUGUUUUGCAUGGGCUGUGCCUUGAUGGGCUAAGCUUUUCCCACAUUUCUGGAGCUAAUGGCUUGUCAUUUUUUGGAUCAGAUAUAUCAAGAUGCAAUGCCCCGAUUGUGGCUCAGUGCCUGAUGAACCGGCAUUGUGUUUGCUUUGUGGCAAACUAUGUUCACCUAGCUGGAAACCAUGCUGCAGGUGAUAGCACUUUGCUUUUUACAGUUCCAAGUAGCCUUGUUUUGGUUCUACUGUAAUUAAUGCUAAAUCCUAAUUAUUGUUUAUUCUUUGUAGGACUGGUAAAUGCCUGAAUCAUGCAUCACAAUGUGGUGCCGGUGUUGGCAUAUUUCUUUUAGUGAGGGUAUGUAUUAGCUUAUUAUUUGCCAUCACACCAAAUUAUUAUGGCCAGUGUACUUUCCUUUGUUCUUUCUGAGACCAAGCUCCUUUCCUAUUUUGACGGAUGUGCUGUGCAGAAAACAACGAUCCUGUUGCAGCGAUCUGCUCGUCUUGCCUUUUGGCCAUCUCCUUACCUUGACACGUUUGGGGAGGAGGUAUUGAAUAAUUUCGUAUGCUUUGUUGUUGUUUAUGGACUUAAGCCUGUUUGUUACGAUCCCCACUAAAUUUUCCUCCCAGGUCUCAAAUGGGAGCUUUUUUCUUUUUGAUGUUAUCCUCGUGCUUCUCCAUGAAGCAUCUCUUACAAUAGCAAUACAAAGUGAUUUAUGAUGGCUUGAUGCCGUGCCUAAUCAUCUGAGACCUUUUAUAGAUCAAUGCUGUGCCUAAUCAUCUGAAUCUUUUGAUACAUCAGACAUACUGCUGUAGGUCUGAUGGCGUAUUGAUCCUCUUCACUUUCUGUUUUCUGUGGAUAAACAUUGAUUAUUUAAGGUUAAUAUGGGUGGUAGUUUAUGCCUAGCUUGCAAGGCAAAUGCACUGUUAAGUGGGGGUAGUUGAGAUUUGUCCUUGCAUAGUUGCAUUCAUACUGCAAGGUCAUUAGACAAAUGCCUACAUACAAAAUUUUGCAAUGAGGUAAAGGGGGAUUUUUUUUUACAUGUCUAGAUGUGAGCUUAUUCCCCUUCCCUUCUGGCUUUCUGUUUGAAUGCAGGAUCAUGAAAUGCAGAGAGGAAAGCCUUUGUAUCUAAGUCAAGAAAGAUACACAGCCUUGACCUAUCUGGUAAUAGGCUGACACCCUUUCCUCUUUGCUUUCUCGACUUAAUGCUAUUAGGAAUUUGCACCAUUUUUUAUAAAUGGGAUGCAUGCCCUUUUUUAUGUGAUAGGUGGCAUCUCAUAGCCUUGAUCGAACUUCUGAAGUCCUUCGGCAAACGACUAUCAGCUUUUAUGGAUCUGGAUCUGAUUAAAUGCAAUUUCCAUGGAACAAUGUUGAAAGGUUUGGAUUAUGUUUAUGUUUGGCAUGUUGGAUUUAGAGAAUGGAAGGAUUGGCAGCUUUGUUUUCCCAAAUGCUUGUUCAUUGGUCAUAAUGGUUGGUUUAGGUGACAAACGGAAUUUGAUUAGUUAGCAAGGGCAUAUUUGUACUAUGGUAUGUGGUCACUAUUUACUUCUCUUAGUAGGCGUGCACAAAUCUAAACAUUGAAUAUAGAAAGAAGACGGAGUAAUCUUAACAUGUGUAUUAGACCCACCAGAGCAAUUAUGCUGCUGGCAGGUCACCCAGCCACAAACAAGUUUUGUCAUGUACAGUUCUAUGAAAGAGCUUGCCAAUGGAAUGAGAGGGGGCCAAUAAGAGAGUGGAUUAGAUAACAAUUAAGUGGUGACAUAGGGCAUUGCUUACCCUUGGCCUUAGAGAAGCUUUGCAAUUGUCUUGAACUGCAACAGCAGUACUCCCUCCGUCCCAAAAAAAAAAGUCAUUAUAGGAAGUUUAAGACAUACUAAUAAGGAGGUAAAAUGACCUUGUUUACCCCUAUUUAUUAGCCAUAUUUAGCACAAAUGGACAGCAUUAUGCAUAUGCACAUACCAAAUAGGGUAGAAUGACUUGUUUUUUGGGACAAAUCUUGAACCCUAGAAUGACUUUUUUUUUGGGAAGAGGGAGUACAUGAUAAUCUCUGUCGAAUCAUCACCGCUCACACCUUUAGCAGGACAAAUUUUACAUUGCAGUGUGAUACUAGGGUUAUUGUUAAUUUAUCAUUUGCUGCCUUGUCAGGGUCUUGUGGAUGUGCAUAUUUUUGGGAACUCUAGUGCAACUUGGUGUUCAUAUUUUCCAGCGGUAACAAGUGUUACCUCUCCCAAGGUUUACAUCUACAAGCUUCUUUUGCUAAUGGGCGUUUAAGUGCAAAAUGCUGUGACAUGCCUGUGCCAUUGUUUUCGCUUCUGAUUACUUGUCGAUCUUCCGGAUGGCGUGGAUCCUGCAGGCUUUGCCACCGGUCGUGCUUGGGGGCCCUGCCGUCCUCUCUUGCUGAAUGUACGGUUGUUUUCAUGCUUCUUUUCAUUGUUCAUGGCCGGUGCUUCCCAAAGUGGAUGAUAGGUAGGCCUAGUGGCGACCUGGAAUAUUUGACGAUCGACUGCUUGAUCUGUCUGUACAGUGUAUUACAUUGGAUCGGUGUAGUUAGUAUGAAAAAGGCAGGCAAGUGCCAUUUGGUCAUCAUGUGCUUUUGUGUACCAUGUUGCUUUGUCAUUUGUCUGCUGAAUCUUUCGAGUUCUUGUUUCUUUUUUCAUGCAAGUUCUUGUGUUGAAGCGAGGUCAGAGUGCUCUGCAUAGGCACUAACACAUUGUUUCGUUGCAGCACUAACACUCAGCUUGGGAGCGUCCCUUGUUGCAACCUACGUACGGUGUGCUUUGCUUCGAAGGUUGGGUAGAAAAGCAAUGAGAAGUCGCAUGAAAGAAAUGAGUAUUCAAGUCCGCAUAUCGCAUAAAAGGUGUAACGGUAAUUAAAAAAAACUCGACGAGUCCAAGGCUUCAAGCCUUGGAAACACAGUGGCUGUACCAGGUGUAUACAAAAGUCAUCUGCGGGAGUACUCAUCAACCAACUUCGUUCAGCUUGAAGAUAGAGGCUGAACAUCCGGCGAUGGACCAUGUUGCUUGGUUCUUCUUCGAGGAGGCACCUCCUGAAUUGCUCUGCUUUGGCGCAGCCAACCAUCUCCAGACGUUUCAGCUUGCCUAGAUUCUCUGCCUGGUCCAGGGCUGGACAGUCCUGCACGAACAAAUCCUCAAGCUUGGAAAGAUUGGCGAUCCUCGUAAGGCUUCGGUUGUGCUUCACCUUGAGCCACACAACAGCGGGAAGGUCCACAAAUCUCAUGUAGGCUAUGCGCACCUUCGACAAGUUUGCAGCCCUGUGCAGAUCUUGAGGGAGUGCCCUCAAUUUUGGACAAUGCAGUAGCGACAGACGCUUGAGGAGAGGCAUCAGUAUCACCUGGUUGGGGGAGUCUCCGAUUGUGUUCUGAUUGCACAUGCCUACUGUGCUCAGUGAGCAGGCCUCCACAAUUUUAUGAACAUUACAUUCAGCUCAAAUUCCUCAAACAAGACAUUGAAAAGCGAGGGCAGGAGAUUCAGCACGCUCAAACAAUACAAAAACGCCUUAAGCGAUCAUAUAAGCACACUGCAAAAAAGACAGAAGGCGCCACUGAAGAGGUGAUUUACAGCUAUCAAUCAACAAAAUUUCCGAUUCGACUACAAUUUUUUUGUAUCGAACACGCAAGAGAUUUGACUUGGUCAAAGUUGUGUUUUGAAGACUGGGUACUGCUUAUUUGGAACUGGAGUGAGCAUUAUACGUGUUUUCUUUAUGAAUAAUGUACUAUAAGAACAAAACAAAAGUUGUUCCAAACUAACCAAAUAAAAGUUCGCAGUAGAAAACUAUUGCUACAGUUAUAUCAGUUCCUUUUUGCGCAGCAUCCAUCUUUGGCGACAAUGGAUGGUAAUGUGUUCAAAUUUUAUUCCGUUCGGGUGCAAGUCUACUGUUGAAUGGCUUGGCUUCAAAACUUUGCCGCCCAGUUGUGCCUUGCGGACUUGCAGUUGCGGUGGUUGCCCACUACUUCAGCUUCCAACGGUCCAAGGUGUUUUGCACCAGCCACCAGGUACUGUGCCAUUCUGAAGAGCAUAUCAAAUUGUCGAGGAUUUUGGCCCAUAGCCAGACAUCAUACCACAGUCCAAGGUGCACACUGCAAUCCACCGUCGGCGGACCUGCUGAUCACAUGAACAAUGUCUGGUGUUGAUGGACGGCUAGUAACCAUGAUACCGGAACAAUUUACAAGGACGAAUGACGUUUCAGAGUAUCAGUAAAGAACAUUGCCAAUCACAAAAGGAGAAUAUAAGCUGAGAAAUUGCUGAAACAGUAGCAAAGCCUAAAUGUUGAUAACAACAUAUCAGUAUAUCACAUUAGAAAUGAAGCCAUACACUUUACUAAGCUAGUUUGCUCACCUUUCUAAUGAUAGAGAGAUUCAUCUGGAAAUAUAUCUCGGCCAUCCGCACCAACUGUUGCAACAUGUACUCAGAUGUCUUGUUCUUCUUUCAGGAGACAAUUCCUGAACUGCUGUCCGUUCAGGCAGUCAACCAUGUACAAGCACUUCAGUGAAGAUUGGAGAUUCUCCUCAAAGAUUUAUUGUUCUUGACCGUGAGCCACAAAACUUCAGGAAGGUUUACAACUUGUUGAAGCUUGUGAGCACCUUCAAUGUGAAUCCUUUUUAAAUUAACAGCUCUAUGCAAAUCUUCAGGGAGAGCUCUUAGUUUAGGACAAUCAAGGAGCAACAGGCGCUUAAGGCAAGGCAUCAGAACGAGCUGUUGAGAUUUGGUCUCCAUGUUAUUACACAAGCUUCUUGUUUUGAGGGACCAACUUUCCAAAUUGCGCAUGCGAAUGAUGUGAAGCAAUUCGAGCUUUGGGAAAACAGCUGCUGCUUUAGUCACACCUCUCCCCAGGAAUUCUGCACCCAUAGUCACUACUGCACCUGCACCUCUAAUCUGAAGAACUAGUAGUUCUGGCAUCUGGCCUACUGGUGGUAGUUGUAAACAUGAUAUGCACUCAUUGAGCUGCAUGUGAGACAAAUUUGGAAGCUUAUACUCUGGCUCUGAACAUAGCCAUUCUGGGAACCUUACACCAGGGAACCCAACAAAGAAAAUGUAUAAUAGGCUUGGUGAUGGAAUAAGCAUCUCAUAGACUUGCUGAAUUUUCUCAAUCUCACUGGCUUGGUAAUGAGUUUUAUCAUGAAUAUUCAUGCCCACUGUGCAGCACAACCCCAGUUCUCUGGCUUGGUAUUGCCUUUUCAAGCUUCUCAACCCAGAGGCGUUGGAUAUUGGUGAGACAUUUUAAUUCAUCCAAUCUGAACCCAGUCUCACUUUCAAAGACACCUCUGAGGUAGUAGAGCUGCUGGAACUGGCAAUUCCUUUUGGAACAUGAUCAAUAGCAGUCUUUUCAAGUUUAAGAAAACUUAUCUGUGAUAGUCUCAUUAAACAAACUGUCAGACUAUCCAACUUAUGGCAACCACGCAAUGAGAGAGAUUCAAGGCUGGUAAGCCUUCCAAUCGAAUCUGGAAGUUUGCUGAUCUCUGUAUAACUUAGAUCUAGCAACCUCAACAACACCAGGUUUCCCACUGACUCUGGAAUGAUUAGGAUGCCCGAUCCACUUAGAACUAAGACACGGAUGUGCUCAAGCUUUCGGAAAAUAUUCGUGUUAACUGACUUGAAGUUCUUGUUAUUGAAAAUUAGGAGGCUCCUCAUGCAUUUAUACUCUCCUAUAGCAGGUAUUUCUUCUACAGAACUGCUGAUACUUAAGCACCGCAGAUUAGGCGGAACUUCAUUAUUUUCUGCAUUCAUGAAUAAGGAAUGAUACCUUGUCAAAUACUGCCCAAGUGACCUCAAUAGAUCGUGCAUUGUUGAAAUACCUUUGUCCACGAAUUCUGGUUUUGGUUGCAGAAGAUUCCUCGUAAUUAGCUCAUAAUAGUAUUCUUCAGCAAUUGCAUGAAUCGAGCACUUGUGAUCUUUCCUCACAAAACCUUCAGCAACCCACCAGUAAGCAACAGCAUUACGCUCGAUUGCAAAAUUUGGAGGCAACAAAGCACACUCUUAAGUUGAGGGGUUAAGUUGCUAUAACUCAUAUAUAGGGGGCCUCCUAGUUCUUUGGGAAGUCCGUGGAUAGACCAGUUGCUAUCUCGGAUGCUCUCCCAUUCUGCCCUUGUUCUUUUAGUAGAUAGAACACCCGCAACAACCGCGAUGGCUAGAGGAAGACCAUCACAUUUUCUUACUAUUUGACACCCAACAUCACUAAAUUCAUUUAGUUGCACAUAUAUGGUCGGAAAGACUUCUUCAUUAGAAGUUCCAGGCCAUCAUAAUCAUUCAUUUUGUUUACUUGGUGAGUAUAUGUUGCGUGCAUUCCUGCCAAAACAUCCAGGUUUCUUGUGGUGACAAGGAUAUUUGCAUUCGAGCAUCUCUUGAAAGGCGAUCGGAGAAGAUCAAUCCAGACAUCAGAUUUCCACGCAUCAUCUAAAACAAGAAAUACACUCUUUCCUCUGAUAGUGUCCAUCAGAUGGAAAAGAAGUUCGGUCUUGGUCUCAAGCUGACCACAUGUUGCUCCAGCCAUUCGUAUUGCCUGCCUUGGCAAACCAAUCUCUGUGUAGCUCUGAGAAACGCACAACCAUAUAUGAACUUGGAAUUUCUCCCUUAUCCUCUGCUCAUUAUAUAUCUUCUGAGCUAAUGUUGUCUUACCAAUGCCUCCCAUCCCUUGAAUACCAAAAACAGUUGAUUUGUCUUCAUGAAAAUUACUAAGAAUCAUUUUGACCAUGUCAUCAGUCGCCUGUCUGAUAUCUCUUCCAAAAACCUCUAGUUCAUCUAUGGGUGAUGUCUGACUUCUAUCCACAACAGGUACUUGAUACUGUUGACUACUGGUCCUCUCCAAGCUGAUGAACAUGUUUCUGUUCUUUUGAAUUUCAUCUAGCUUUCUGUUUAUAUCCUUGAUUCUUUUAGCAACCCUGUGAUCAAAUGAAAGUUUCGCGAUAAAGGACAAAAGGGACUGGUUGCAACAUUCCAUUCUAGGUGGCAGCAAUAGCUUCUGUGAGUGAACCAUGAAGUGAUCUAUGACAUCAUCCACAUCAAACAUAACGUCAGUCAUGUUCUUCCACCAUGACUCUGCCCCCCUAUCUUGCUUCAGCAUCCUCACCAACAGCGCCAAAAUGUUCCAGAUUUUUCUUGAGCCUCUUGAUAUCCCUUUUCACACUCAAUGUCAUUGCAACUUCAUCCUGGAUAAUCUGACUAAGCUUUGCCAGGAAUUUUGAAGUGAGAGCAUCCAAAAAUGCACCCAUACUGCUCAAACAGCUAGACCUAUGGAUUGUCACCGGAUCUCACUUGCCCUCAAGCUUCAGAUUGUAUAUGAUAUAUCUCAGUUAACCGCAGCUCAUUCGAGAUUGGAAAGGGUAGGAGAUGUUGAAAUAGAGGGAGUGCAGUUUGAUGGAAUUGGAGAGGCCAAUGCACAAGUGAGCUGUUAUAAGUUCCCAUCACUGUAAAGACCCGACCUAAUCAUAGACACCUAAUGUCUUGGGCAUUCCCAUUUGCUUCCAAUCUUUUCAACACAGGUAAGAACAUAUAUCUCAAAAAACAAAGGACUAUUGUUGCAGACUUGCUGACGGGAGGGAAAGAGUCGCCACCAGAAAAUAUUUGUUUGACGGCAGACAUUCGUGCAUUUCCUCGAACAGUCCAUAUGCGUUCAAUCGUUGGUCUCCAACUCUCCGUAGACUAAGUUUCUUGUUUAUAAAAAAAAAUCGAGAGAGAAGAAUUUGCGAUAGCUGCUCCAUCGUUUUCGCCAAUCUACGUACAGAGAGAGAGCGAUCAAAACAGGCCGUCUACUAACAUCACCAGAAACAAAUCAGCCCGAAACUUCCAUUAGAUUUGUAGGCUUUUUCGCAGAUACACAGAGAGACCUGCAUGAGAAGCGCGCGCUGCGGUUGUCCACUGCAUUGAUUGGUUGGCGACGCCGACUACCGGCCGCGGCGAUAGCCACAGCUCGUCGGCCGGCAGCGCCGCCCACCGCCGGAGAAGAAGCCUGCCAUCCAGGGGCUCCACAUGUUUAUCGGGCCCAGGCGCACAGCCCAGCCCAGCGACACGUUAGUACAACACAGGCCGGGCCCUCUCUCUCUCUCUGUUCGUGUCACGCCGCCCGGACCGCCCCCGGGUCCAGCAAACUAUGAUGAACAGCCCAACCUUGGUGGCCCUCAAAUCAAACCAAAACCAGGAGUCCAGGACCGUACAAACACAUGCUGAUCGAAUAGGCGAUAGGCCGAAGGUCUGCGAUUGAGAUGAUGAAUCGAUUUUUCUUUUUCACCAAUGUGGCAAUUUAUUAACUAUCCGCUUCCUCUCCCUUGCAAGAAGACAUUUUCGCCGUUGCAAGAAAAGCUCCCAGUGAAAGGGGGGCAAAAAAAAAUCAAGUCACACGACAUCGAGAGUACACAAAGAUGGUAGAUGCAUAUAGAUGGAUGGUUACACGAGACACUGAAGACAGUAAGCAGGCAGCACAUACAACACGGAGCAGAGCAUUGCCUGCUUGCUACACACACUGACACUGCUACAGAUGAGCCCCACAAGCGACCUGCCUGCGAGGAAGGACACGGCGACGACGGCGACUCGCAUCUCAGUACCAUUAUUCUUCUCCAUCAGUACGAUUACUAGCAGCAUGCGCAACACUGUUAUUAAGCAUGCCACACACACACUUAGGACACAACACUGCUAUACUAGGGUGUCCUUCCGAUCGCCUCCACCGGCCAGGGGCCGCGCCAUGAGCUCAUCACUUGCCGCAGGUGCAGGGGUUGCAGGUGCAGUUGGGGCCGCACUGGCACCCGCCGUUCUCGGCUCCGGCGGACGCCGCGCCGCCCUCGAACCCGCCGUCGGCGUGCCUGCGCAGAGAAAGCCAAGAUAUGACAGAGUCAGUGGCCUGGCUCAUACAUGCAUACAGAGCAUUUUUGGCAUGUUCGCUACCAGCAGCUACAUACGAGUGCAUGACGUCCCAGACUUCUCAGUUCAGGACAAAUUAAAGUUCUUUUUUUUUUCUUUCUGUUUUUGGGCCAGCAGUUUGUUUGUUUCAUGAUUGCCAAAAACUGCUUUCGUCGUAGCUUACUGCUCCCUGCUCGUUGCUGAUGGCGACUGAAAUUUGUACUACCACUAUGCGGACAAAUACCACAGCUACGCAUGCUAACAGAAGUUGGUACUGCUCCCUACACGAUCGAUCGAUCUACCCCCACAACACAAGGCAAAAGACAGUAAAAAUAGUACAGCUAGUAAUUCUGCACCACAGAAACUGACUGCUAUUAUUAGCAAAGGUGUGGAUGGUGGAUCAUUCAGAUCAACACAACACCGGAAUGAUCUAUGAGCAUGAUGUAGAUCAGUAGAUGGGAAAAGGGAUGGAUGAACAUACCCCUUGUUGGAAGGCGCAACGCCCGUGAUGACGGUCUGGGUGGUGGUGGUGCCCUGCUCAGCCAUGUCCGGGAACAUCUUGCACCUGCAGAUCAUGCAAGCGGCAGAUCAGCAUCAUCAGAAAUUUCCCUUGUUGAAGGAGCACAACUACAGCAUGCACAUCGUUUCAGAGAAACGAAGUUCAUCAGACAGGAAUUCACAUGCGCAGCAACAUGAGAAAACCUCUCUGUUUUUUUUCUAAAAUAAAAAAGGGGAGCUUGAUCUCCCAGCUCUACAUAUCCUAUACUCAAAGAUCCAUCCACAAAGGUCCAGCAAGAACACAAGAACAACCGAAUACAUGCAUUCAUAUGGGUAUUGACACAUGAUAGACACGCAUCAGACUAUCAGAGAUCUGAGGAGCGUGGCGUCGUGGGGCUUACCCUCCGCAGCCGCUGCCGCACUUGCAGCCGGACCCGCACCCGCAGUUGCCUCCGCAGCACGACAUCCUCGCGAGAUCGAUUCAGAGACGAACACAAGCAGAGAGCGGCGUUCUUGGCAAUGAGUCACUGAACAACAACGAGAUGCAGUAUGCCUUCCCCCUG